UCUUUUGUUGCAGAGAAGAGAGAGAUGGCAAUGGAGAGAGAGAGAGAGAGACUGGUAGAAUUUAGAAGGCUAAAAAAAAAUCCGCGAAGGACGAUGGCACCGGCCAUGUUGGCUCUUUUUCUCCUUUUCUGAUUGCUUAGUUGGAUUUUUUUUUUUUGUUUUGUGUUUUUUUUUUAAGACUUUCUUGAUAUUUUUUUUUUCUUUAACUUGUCAGCAAAACAAGCCUUUUGCUUUUUAGAUUUUUGAGCGAUGUAAUUUAUUAAAUAUAAUUUGGAAAUCUUUUUCUUGAAAACUUUUUGCGAGGAUUUGUGAUAAAAUUAGUAAUGAUUUAUUUAAGAUUUUGUUUAAAAAUAGUACGGUUAUAUUUGAUUAAUAUCUCCAUGUUUAAUUAGAAAAAUAAAAACAGAAAUAUAAAAUAAAUUAUGUAUUUAAAAUAGUUUUAUAAUAAGUUUUUAUUUUAUUAAAAUAUAAUAUAUAAUGAUAUGUCUCUUUAAUCUCCAUAAUUUAUGUCUAUUUUAUUAAACAAUAUCCAAUAUCAUUUGACAACAUUAUAACUUGCCAUGUAUUGUAUUUUUCUCUUUUAAAAAAAGAUUAAUGGUUAUUUAAUUAAAAAUCUUUCAUGAAUUCAUUUUUUUAAAAUCACAGAUAUUUCGAUGAGGUCGCUCAUUUAAUGCAUGAGAUUUUUUGAAAAAUGUCUUGGAAUAUAUUUUUUUGAUAUCGUCAUAAAUUAAAAUAAUCAAACUAGUCCAAUUAAUAAUUAAUAAGAUUUUAAAUAAUAAAAUUUUAAAAAAAAUAAAAACCAACAAAAAUCACAUUAUUAUAGAUCAAAUUGGUACAAACAAAUUUUUUUUUAAAUGACAAAUUAAAAAAUGCUCGAGCGCUCGGGCCUAUUGGCACGUCACACCUAGGCUUUUAAAAGCUUAGGCGAGCGUGCAUGGAGCAACCUACAUGCUCCAGUCUCUUUAAUUAUUUUUUUCAAUUUUUACGGGAUGAACUAUCUAUCGUUUGUCCUUUGAUUUCUUUAAAAGAUAAAAACAGUCGACGUAUAAUAUGUCCUGCCUAGAUUCUGAUGAUCUCUAGUAACUGAGAAGUCAAGACUAAGAUGUUUCACCCUAAAAACCCUUUGUCAACCAUGUUUUGACAACAAAAGAUAUAAAAACACCCUAAACACCUUGAAAAACAUAUACAUGGCCUGAAAUAACCAAAAAAUCAGGUUAAAAAUUCAAAAUCAACCCGAAACCAAAAUUAUUUUCAAGUUCAAAUCUACCAUUUCAGACAAUGUUAUGAAAAAAUAGCGCCCAAGCUAAACUCCCUCGUAAAAAAAAACUCAUUGACACUAAAAUAGUCCAUUUUCAUGAUUGAAAUUGAUGUUAAUUGAAACUUUAUCUCUUUACCACCAAAAUUCAGCCACAUUUUCUCUUUAGCACUAAAAUCUGAUUACUUUCUCUAUCAUCUCUCAAACCAAAGAACAAAAAUAAGUAAAUUGAAGUUUUGAACUACAGUUGAAUUAUAUAAAUUUUGAGGGACUUAAAUUUUAUAAUUUAAAAGGUUUGAGGAUCAAAAUGAACGUUUUGUCCCAAGUUUGAAGCAACCACUCAUUUUCACCGCCUUUAUAGUUUGGUCCUCUUUCUUUGAAUCUUGCCAUUCCUAAAUAAAGAUGCUAUAAUUGACCAUCAAUUCAUGCUUUUAAAAAGUGGAAUUGAUUAAAAAAAAAGAGAUAAAAAAAUAAAUCACUCUAGUAAUCCACUAUGAUUUAUCUUUGUGUAUGUAAUGAUAUAGGAAAAAUCCCCACGUCUUUUAGUAUUUAUUAAUAAAAAUAGUAUUUAAUUCUAUACUAAAAUAAAUAAGAACUAUUAUAGAGCCUCAUUGUUUAUAUUCACAGCAAAUCUCCACUUUUUAUUUUUCAAUUCAAACCCUGUUUUUGUUAAAAAUAUUUUUUUAAUCUCAUUAUCAUAUUUUUUUAAACAAUUAUUCAAGUUUUUUUAAUUAAUUAUGUCGGUUGAAUCAUGUUGAGUUAACUUCUACAUGGUUUAAUUUUAAAUUCAGACAAAGCAAGAGUUCAGUUAAGAGGUCUUUUUUAUAUUAAUUUUAUCAUUUUUUUUUCUUAAUUUUGAACUCAUAUUUUUCUUACCAGCUUGCUUUUGGACUACCCAAGGCAACUGGGUCACAACAUAACAACUUCUAGGUGGUUUAAUUUUAAAUUAGAGCUGGACAAAGAGUUGGGUAAUGGGGAUUUUUAUAUCAAUUUCAUUAUUUUUUUUCAAUUUUCUCCUCAUACUUUUCUUAUCCGUCGACUAGGGUGUUUUUGGAUCAAUUAAGUCUACUAGCUCACGUUGAGGCUACUCUAAAAAUCUUGACUGAUUUCUUGUCUAAUUUAAUUUUAAUAUUAAAUCAUGUUAGAGUUGAUUUGAUGUGAAUUACCCAACUUGGAUGGUUCAAAGAUAACUCAGGCUAGCAUUCAAAAAUUAUAAAAACAAGAUGGGGGAAAAUGAUAAAAUUAAAAGAAAAAUAAGAAAAAGAAAUAAAAGAGCACUUGUUUUGCUUUUUAAAUAAACAGUGAAGGAGGUGUAGUAGAAUUAUUGUUUGAUUGCGUAUGAAAUAACUUAUUCGUGACUUUUUUUCAUUAAAAUUUUGCCAACCAACUUUCACAUGAUUCCUAUCUACUAACACGAAAUUUCUCAUAGUUCAGGAGUUUUGUACAAUUCAGCCGAUGAAAAAACACCAUAUAUUUCUACGAGACUUUAAAGAUUGAUGCAGUUAAAUGAGGAGAAGGAGUAUAACCUCCAAACAGUGCCAAUAUUCAAUUGUAAAUGAAUGGAACAAAUUUCUCGUUGAGAAGAUUUAUAUCUGGAAUUUAUGGCCAACUAGCCAGGCAUCGGGAUCGCAGUUAAUACGAUUCAAAAGCCUUAAGCAUCGGCGAGAUGGAGUGAAUAAGGAGUUGUUUGCAAAAGGUGAAAAAAUUUAUUUCUAAAAAUGUUUAUUUAUUUAGAAAUAUAUUAAAAUAAUUUAUUUUUUAUUUUUUUUAAAUUUAUUUUUUUCAAAAACAUAUAAAAAAAAUUAUAGCAAUUUUUUUUUCUUGAAAACAUGGUGACCAUCCAAGAUCUCAAGUUCGACUCUCUUAUCUUAUCGUGCAGACAAUUUCAUGGAGCCAUCAAAUGUGAGAAAAGUCUAUGAAAUCCUUUGUUUUUUUGUUUUAAAAAUGUUUUUUAAAAAAGUAAUUUUUUUAUUUUUUUUCUUUGCUUCAAAUUAAUAUUUUUUUAGGUGUUUUCAGAUAAUUUGACUUGUUGAUAUCAAAAAUAAUUUUAAAAAAUAAAAAAACUGUAAUUUAAUAGGAAAAAUAUUUAAAAAAACAAUCACUAUCACAUUUCCAAACACUCUAUCCUCGCUAAGAGUCUAUGCAUGCUAGGACUAGUGGGGCCUGACCCGAUACCCCUGCUAAUUCAAAAACAAAAAAGAGGAUAAAGAUCAAUUUCGAGCAUGUUUAACUUAACAUCAGCAGCACAGUUUACAGAAUUUCUACUAGAGGCAGUGAAUCUGAUGAUGGCAUGGAAGAGAAUUUACGAGGCCAAAAAACCAUGAAAUGGACUAAUGAGAUUUUAAUUAGGUGGCAUUGAUAAGGUGCUCAGUCGGUUCAAGCAAUGAUUGUUGGAUCCCAACAUAUAUAGGAAUGAAUAUAUAAUAAUCAUAAACAAACAACUAACAAGUGGGUUUGGGUUGGCAGUUCAAGUAAAUUGACCCAACACUAGAAGUUAGAGCAAUCGAAGAUUUCUGGUGCCAAGCCUCAAGGUUGUUCUGAAUUCACCCAACACUAGGAGCUAGAGCAACUGACCACGAUUUUAUUUUAAAAUAAUUUAUUUGCAGACAAAAAUAGAUUCUUAAAGCAAUCCAGUUUUUAGCCCUCAAGGAGUAUGGUCUCCCGUGAAAGUGACUUACUUCUUUUUAUUCAAGCAAGAAGAAGGAAACAUGAUUAAUUAUUUCACCAAAUAAGUAACCUCGAUCUUAUAAAAUAAUAUAGAUUAUAUAUUAACAUCUUAGAUUUUUAAAUUAAAAUAAUUUUUUUAUAUAAUAUGGUCAAAGAGAUAAAACUUAAAAGCAAUGCACGAGUUUGUGCAAAUUUCAAAUUUUAAAAACUUUUUACAUUAAAAAAAUACAUUGAUCGAGAUAAAUUAUACUUGGACAUUCUGAAUUAAGAGUGAACAUUUGAAUUCAUGGGCAAAAUAUACCUCAAUACAAGUAAUGAGACUUCAUUUGCUUGCUCGUUGGAUAUUGAGAAGGCUUAAAAUAAAGGGUUUCUAGUGGUUCAGUUUGGGAGUGAAUUUCAAUAUGUUUUUGUUAAAAUUUAUUUAUUUAUAGUUAUUUUUUAUGUGUUUUCGGAUUAUUUUGAUGUGCUGAUGUUAAAAUUAAAUUUUAAAAAAUAAAAAUAUUAUUUUAACAAAAAUCACUUUAAAAAAUAAUUAUUACUAUAUUUUUAAACACCAUCUCAAAACAUAAAUGGCAAACAUCACGGCCAAGGAUGAUAGCGAUAGCGAUAACGAUGUUAUGGUGGAGCAUAUGUCGUGCGAGAAGGAUAAAAAGAUUAUCCAAUAUUAUUAAUUCUUCCACAAGUCACUUUUCAUUUUUAUACGUAUUAAUUAAAAUUAGGUGAUUUUAUUUUUUUAAAAAAAAACUUAAUGUUUUUUUUUUAAAAAGGGAAUUAUAUACACAAUCCAUCCAUUUCAGCUUCUAUUUCUUAUUAGGCCUGGUUUGUUUUUGUGUUUUAAAAGCAUAUUUGAAAAAAUUUGAAAUUUUUUUAUUUUAUUCCUUGCUUUAAAUUAAUAUUUUUUUGAUGUUUUUAGAUCAUUUUGAUGCGCUGAUAUUAAAAAUAAUUUUUAAAAAAUAAAAAAUAUUAUUUUAAUAUAUUUUUAGAUUAAAAACACUUUAAAAAAUAAUCGUAACUACACUUUCAAAUAAGUUUACAUGCAUAGUUCUUUUCUUUUUUUUUCAAGAAAAAGGAAGUUAUUGGAUCAUAAGGCUGCAAAAAUAAGAUGCCAGCUCAUGCAAGGCAACGUAGGCAGAAGAAAACCUUAUAAAAAAUAAAAAUAAAAAAGUAUGGUCGUUGUCACAUGAUGUAAUUGAUUUGCUUUUGUCUAUUAUACUAAUGAAAAGGCCUUUUUAUGUAAUCGUUUUUCAAUAUUUUUCCUCAGCAAUAGUCAUUGUACAAUCUUUAAUCUUACGUGUGACAGAAAACAUGCCCAGGUAUUCUUGUUAGAUAGUUGUGUUUCAUCUACUCUACCGAUUGGUAUGUUUGUGAAUUUGUUAAACAUGUAUUUUUAGUCUGAAAAUAUAUUAAAAUAAUAUAUUUUUUUAAUUUUUAUAAAUUACUUUUUAUAUAAGCAAACUAAAAUAAUAUAAAAAUACAAAAAAGUUAAUUUAAAAUAAAAUUUAUUUUACUUUUUAAAAAAACAUUUUUAAAUAACCAAAACAAACGAAAUCUAAAAUACAUGAGUAUCAACCUUUCAUUUUUCUCUUCUUGUUAUUAAACUCACCACGAAUAUUGCCUAACUCAAAACUCGAAGUGGGUUGAUUAACCUAGAUAAAUCUAGACAACAUGAUUUUAGUAUUAAAAAUAAAAUAAAAUGAUCUUGUUUUAAAUAAUUUUUAAAAAUCAAACCUAGUAAAAAUCAUAUUAUUAAAUUAACUCGUUAAACCCAACAAAGUUUAAUAACACUUAAUUAAAUAAAAUAAUAGAACCGGCGAGAGAAAGAAAUAAACUCAAAUUAAUCUCCCAACCAUGUAACAAUUGUCAAUCAAAUUUUCAAACAAAAGUUUUUGUCCAUUUGGAUUCCCCCACCAACUUUUGUUGAUAGAGUUCAUAAUAAUUUCACGAGUUGCAUAAGUGCGGUGUGAGUGUUAAUUCAUUUAUUGAGAAGAACUUAAAUUGGUCUUCCACUGUAGCGAUUCCCGAUGAAGAAAUUUGAUUGUAAAUUUAUGCAUUUCUUAGGAUAUAAUUGGUGAAAAAAAAAACUUUUGAAACAAAAUUAAUGAUCUCUGUAUAUUAACUGAGUAACAAGUUGGUGUUUAUGAUAAUUAUACCAUCACGCCUUUGGAUUUGUUGUUGUUGUUAUUAUUAUUUAUUGAAUUUAAAUAUGUGUCUUCGAAUUCAAAAUAUUAUAUUUUUAAGGGGUGAGUAAAAAAACUAAAAAAUCAAUUAAAUCAAGAAAACUAGAAAAAAAUAAUUGAAAAAACCGAACCGUGAAAAAAACCAAUUAAAUCGAUUAAAAUUUUGAAAAAAUCGACUGGUUCGGUUCGGUUUCGGUUUUAUAAGUUUGGAACCGAAAAAACCAGAAAAAAACCCGAGCCAAACCGGUUUGAACCGGUUUUGUCCUAAAAAACCGAACCGAAACCAGUCGGUUUGAACCGGUUUCGGUUUUUUUUUAAAAAAAAAUUCAAUUUGAUUAUUUUUUUAUAAAAACCAAACCAAAUAAAAAAUGAUCACCCCAAAUACUUUCUAUAUUUUGCGUGAAAAAGUUAUCUUGGACUAUUUGAAAUGGUGAAGAACAUCACAAUUGAUAUAUAAGCUAAAGGGUUCUAGGCUUUAUAGUUUUACUUAACUUUUUUUUUAAAAGGAGCCUCUACUUUAACAAAUCUUUGAGAAUUUGACAUCAGAGAAUACCAGUUUCUCGAUUGAUUUGGAAACUUCAACAACUUCUCUAAGAGAAGCAAUUGUAGCAUAUGAUUGCAUGAAUUACACAUCAAGAAAUGACUUCUGUCGUUAACAAAAGGGAAGUGAUAAGAAAAAAGUGAGAGAAAGAAAACAAUAGCAAGAAUUCCAACCAGGGGCAUGUUUGGAGGUGUGAUAGAUUAUUUUUUAAAAUAUUAUUUGCUUGAAAAUAUAUUAAAAUAAUAUUUUAUUAUUAUUAUUUAUAUGAAUAUAUUAAAACGAUAAAAAAAUAUGAAAAAAAUUAAUUUAUAGCUAAAAAAAUAAAAAUUUCAAAAACAUAGUCGGAUUGCAAUGCUAAACAAGACAUAUGUGUUUAAAGGUGUAGUAAAAAUUGUUUUUUAAAAUAUUAUUUGUAAAUGUAAUAAAAUAAUAUUUUAUUAUUAUUAUUACUACUAUUAUUAUUAAUAUCAAUAUAUCAAAAUAAAAAAACACUAAAAAAUAAUAAUUUAUAACUAAUUUUUUUUAAAAAAAAUACAAUUAAACUGUAAUGUUAAACAAAACAUAUGUAUUGCACCAAACUCAAUGGAUGAUAUGUUCCGGUUUGCAUUUUUUUUUUUAAUAUUUGGCAAUAUUUGUUAACUCACGAAUGUCUUUAUUAUAGAAAUGUUAUUUAAAAUGUAAAACAAUACCUAUGGUAAUUAACAACCAAAUCAACUUUCAAGAUCAAAUUCAGGCACACCGGCCUGUCUUUAUUCAUUGAUCGGUACUUGGCACAUCAAAUUUUCUGGUGGAGUUAUAUGCCUCAACCUCAUACUCUUAUUGGAUCAUUAUAUAUGUAUAUGGAAGUUACUAGGGGAUUAACAAUUAUUAUUCUCUUGCGUAUUUUUUUCUUUGGAAAUUGUUUCCAAAACUACCAAAUAGAUGCUAUCUUUUCUUCACUUCAACUCGUUAAAUAAUUAACCUUUUAAUUUUUAAAUCAAGUGUUUUUUUUUUUCCAUAAUCCUUGUAAGAUUUUAUCUGAUAAUAUUUUAAAACUAGAUCUAACCAGAUAGGUUGAUAUAUGAUUUAAGUAAGUUGAAGUCUGAACCAACCAAUUUUAAUAAAAAUAAAAGAAAAUUAAAUUGAUAUAAUUAAGUAAAAAAUCAGAAUCAACUCACCAUAUGUUACUAUAAAAAUAGUAUUUUAUUCAAUAAAAAUAGCAAAAACACACAUAAUAAAAGAAUAAAAUACGAGAGGAAGGUGGGUUUUCUAAUCAAGGGCAUGUACUUUUAUUUAGUUCACACAUGUCAAUAUUUUAGAGAGGCUUUAAAUAUUUUAAGAAAAGAUAAACAAUAACAAAUUAACAACAGUAGAGGACGGCUAGGUCGGUGUCAAAAAGACUGAAGCGACCCCGCAGCCCAUCUUCACUGAACUGUUGGCAUCCCUGCUUUUCAUAAUAUUGUAUUCAGUGUACACAGCAGAAAAUGCAUCAGAUUCUGCAGAUUUUAAUUAUUUGGGAAUAUAAUAAUUAUUAUUUUUUAAAAUAUUCUUCACUUGAAAAUAUAUUUAAAUAAUAUAAAUAAUCUAAAAAAAUAAAAUAAAAAUUCAAAUUUUAUCAAAUCUUCGGUGCAAACACAACUCUAAACAUGAUCUUAAGAUGAAAAUGAAGGCAGGAAGCAGAGAAGAGAUGGAAAAGCAAUUUCCUAACAGCAGCAUGCAGUCAAAAUUUCAUGAGAAAGUGCGGGCUGUGGGUGGCAGGCAAAGGAGCCCAUGACGGGGGAAAAAAAGAAAAAAAGUCAGUGCAUAUAAUAGUAUACUUUACAGACACAUCGGCAGUUGAAACUCCUCUUUCCCAUUUGACCAUAUGCCAUCAAAGUACUCAAUACGCUAUAAAGUCUCCCUGCCUGCAAAUCCAUCUUUCAAUCUACUCAAUUGCCUACUGUCUUGUCUCUCGUUUUUUCGGUGUUCCGGAUUGUUUUCCAUGAUUGAAAUUGAAAACGAAUCUUAUUGAGUUUAUGCGAUUAAACCUUUUUUUUUUUAAUUUAAUUUUUUUAUAUUCUUUAAUUGUUUUGCAUAUUGAUGUUAAAAAUAAAAAAAAUUUAUUUUAAUAUAUUUCUAAGUAAAAAGCAUAAUGAAAAACAAUUACUACUAUAAUACCAAAUAAUAUAUAUCUAAAUGCUAUUAGCUCAAACCUAGAUAAGUGAAAAUUGAUAUUACGAAUAGUCAAAACUUGAUUUGGUUUUUUUAUAAAAAAUAAUAUUAUUUUAAUUUUUUUAAAAAUUAUAAAAUAAUAUUAUUUUUAUUGAUUCAAAUCAAAUCUUGUAACUUAGUCUGGUGAGAUGGGUUUAGAGCCCGAGAGUGUGGUUGCGGUUGCUUUUCAAAGUACUUUUCAUUUAGAAAUGUAUCAAAAUAAUGUUUUUUUAUUUUUUAAAAAUUAUUUUUAAAAUCAGCACAUCAAAAUAAUUUAAAAAAUCCAAAAACAUAUUAAUUUAAAGUAAAAAAAAAUAAAUUUAAUUUUUUUAAAAUAUUUUUAAAAUAUAAAAUCAAAUAGGAUGUUAAUAACCUCUUGAUUGAAAACAGGAACCAUGAGAUGCAAAAGGGGAUAAUCUAGAAUGGGCUAAGCCUUUGUGUAAAAGCCCAGAGCUAAGUCAAAGUUCAGCUUUACCGGGCCUAAUAUUGUCUUUAAAAAACUCAUGCGGAUUGGUAGAGCACAAGAUUCACGAGCUAGUAUAUUUGUUUUCAUGCAUUAAAGAGAGAUGAAUUUCAGUGGGCUAACUUCAAGUUUUAUUUUUUUUCCGUGUCCAGCCCAAUUCAAGGCUCUAAGACGCUAAGAAUUUCAAAUUUCAAUUAAAUAUAAAUUCUAACUCAAUUUCAUAACAAAUUUUAUUUAAGUCAAAGUUAUUUUUAAUUGAAUAUACCUAUAAUUUAUUUUUAAAUCAAGAAUAAAAAAUAACUUAAAUUAAUUAAUAAAAAUAUUACCAAGCAAUAAUCUUAGUCUCCUGAAAGUAUAAAAUAAAAUAAAAUUAAACACACCAAUUAUUUCAAGCACCGCAAUUGUAGUGAAAGCAAGGGAUAUCGCUACAACUUAGCAAGUUUUUUCAGGUACAAACUUAGAGGUCAAGAACAUCUACUCUCUCUUUUUUUUUUUUUAAUUUCAUUUUCUAAUUUCAAACUUAGAAUUAAUAUUGAGAAAAAUUUAUACACCAACCUCUGGCACGUGAGGGAGAAACCAAAAUUAAGAAGAAGAAGCAAACAAUGCCUUUUUCUAAUUUAUUUAUGGUUUCAAGCACCGACCAUAACCGAUAGAAAAGCUAAAACACAUGAAGUUACAUUAAUUUCACACAGCACAAGCACUUCUGUGUUCGGUCCAGAAAUCAAGACAGACAUUUUUACUAUCUGUCCAUCAAGAUAAAUUCAAUGUUGAGGACAGAUCCACGUUCAAUUCAAGUCAACCGUGUACGAAAUUGGUACCUCCUUGGUUUAAUAUUUAAUCUCUCUUGCAUGUGACAUCAGUUAACUUUAUGUUAAGAUUUUUAUAAAUAAAAAUCUAUUAUUAUGCUUUUUUAUAAUAAUAAAAUUUUUUCUAUAUAUAAUAUAAGUAUUAAAAACACAAUAAAUUAUUAUGCUUUUUUAUCUAAAAUAAUUAUUCUUACUAAGGUAAUUAUUUCUAUAUAUAGGUAUAUAAAAGGUAUUUUAAAAAACUUAUUAUUUUAUUAAUUAAUAAUAUUUAAAAAAUAUUUGCUUUUUAUUAAUAUAUGAAAAUAAAAGACUUUAACAUAAACACAAAGUAAUCAAUAUCAUAUGAAGAAGUCUAAAAGGAGUGCAAGUCACGGCAAACGAUGAAGAAGAAGCUGCUAGGAAAACCGGGACUUAGAUUUUGAAAAUAAAAGGACAGACAUACAUAACUCACGCCUAAUUUGGUGCUUCUUUAACGUGGCUUGUUACUUUCUUUCCCUAUCUUCAUUGUAUCCACGUUUGUGUCGGAUUUGUAUACUAAAAUAUACAAGUGGAUUUGCCAAAAAAAACUUUGACCCACUAGGGAACUUUCUUGCCCUAUUUAGAGAGCCACUUCUAAUUGCUUCUCGACAAGAAAAAUACAAUGGCUUUGUUUCUCGCUCUAUGCUUUGCAAUCAUUCUCUCAUUUUGCCAAGGCUCAGCUCAUGCUGCUAUCCCACCUCGUCCUCUUGAUGGUAAACAUUCACCUUUCUUGAUUACUCGUUUAUGUUCAACAUUUUUCAUGUGAUCUUUCAUGUGAUACUGCUAGUUGUAACACUUGCCUAGCUAAGGCUAAUGUUCCAAAUUAAAACGUUCAAUGGUUUAGCAAGGCUGUUUUAUGUGUGUAGCUGCUUCUUGACAUUUAUUGAUAUGGGCAAUUUUUUGCAGGACUUGUUGAAAAUGGGAACUUUGAGCAAGCACCAGCAAAAUCAAAUCUCAAGAAAAGAGCGAUAAUAGGAAAAUACUCGCUCCCCAAAUGGGAAAUCAGUGGCAUAGUAGAAUAUGUCUCCGGCGGGCCACAACCAGGUGGCUUCUACCUAGCCAUUCCUCGUGGGGUUCAUGCAGUGAGGCUAGGCAACGAGGCCUCUAUCUCUCAAACUCUUACUGUCAAACCAGGCUCAAUUUAUGUACUCACGUUUGGAGCCACUAGAACCUGUGCUCAAGAUGAGGUGCUAAGAGUCUCGGUCCCUGGCCAGUCAAGUGACCUUCCUCUUCAAACCCUGUAUAGCACCAAUGGAGGUGAUACUUAUGCCUUGGCUUGGAAGGCUACUUCUAAAGCUGUCAAGGUCACAUUUCAUAACCCUGGCAUCCAAGAAGACCCCACUUGCGGACCUCUUUUGGAUGCUAUUGCAAUCAAGGAGAUGUUACCUCUGAAGUAUAGUAAAGGUAAAGUCCUGAAUAUUUUUUUCAGGAUCCUUUAUAAUAGCUGAAGUUUAUGUUGGUUUCUGUGCUCUGUAGACAACCUAAUCCAAUUUUUUUUAAAAUUUUUUUUUUUUCUAUACAGGCAACCUAGUGAAAAAUGGUGGCUUUGAAGUUGGUCCGCAUGUGUUCAAGAACUUCUCAACUGGGAUCUUGCUCCCUCCCAAGAAACAAGAUCAAAUUUCACCCCUCCCCGGCUGGAUCAUUGAAUCCCUCAAACCUGUAAAAUACAUCGACAGCAAGCAUUUCUUUGUCCCCACGGGAUUUGCAGCGAUUGAAAUGGUAGCAGGGAGAGAGAGUGCCAUAGCACAAGUCAUCAGGACAAUUCCUAACAAAUUCUACAACCUCACAUUCACAAUCGGAGAUGCAAAGAACGCUUGCCAUGGGUCAAUGAUGGUUGAGGCAUUUGCUGCCAGGGAAACCCUCAAAGUUCCCUACGUUUCACAGGGAAAAGGUGGAUACAAGACUGCAACUUUGAGGUUCCGAGCAAUUUCAGCUAGGACAAGGAUUACAUUUUACAGUGCAUAUUAUCACACCAAGUUACAUGAUUAUGGUCACAUGUGUGGCCCUGUCUUGGAUGAUGUUAGGGUGUUUCCUACUCACUAAUAAGGAGAGAUUCGUUUGAUGUUACCAAAUGCAUGUGAUCAUAAGUAAUUUUUGAGAUAAUUAAAGUCUUGCAAUAGCCUCUUAACAAGAAAUCUGUAACACUGAAAUGGGUGCUUAAAACUUUUGAAACCGAUGCAGAUAAAAGACAAACUUCAGUCAUUUUACUCUCGAAUGUUUCUUACCUUUUUUUCUUGUUUGAUUCUGUUCCUUUGAAUGUUUCUAUUUGUACUUGUUUGUCCAAUCUGUGAAGAUACGAUAUAAAUUCAUAUAUUUUUGACAAAGCUUCUUUCAAACUGCCUUUAUUGUCUGCUAGCAUAUGCCCGAGGAAUUUCACUUUAUUUUUUCUUCGGAAUCACUUCUCGAAAAAUCCAACUCAAGUAGCCUGGCUCACCUGUCGUGAGUUCCAUGCACGAGGCUCAUUUAUGGAGGAAUGUGAAAUAGCUAAGGAAUCUUCAUCCUGUUGAAACAAAACAUUAAAAAAAAAAACUUGAAUUUUCAAUGACUUAAUAUAUAUAUAUUAAAGCUAUUAUACCCUUAAUAAAUAAAAUUAUAUAAAUAUUAUUUAAAACAUCCAUUAAUAAUUUCUAGUCAUUUUAGAUUAUUUUAAAACAUCCUUCUAACCGUUUUAAGAUUGAAUCUAAUUCUUUAAUGAUCAAUAAAAUUCAAACUUGAUUGAAGAGUUAAAUAAAAAAUUAUAACUAUUUUGGGUUAGACAACUUGAUUAAAUAAUUUAUUUAAUUAUCUUUAUUUUUCAAUCUAAUAUAUAAAAUUCUGACUAAUUGUUACACACUACUUUAUGUCAUACAAUAUUGUAGUAAGAUGUUUUUUUUUUAAAUAAUCUAAGAGACAAAUUAGAAACUUUUUUCCACUGUAACUUUGUUAUUUUGAUAUUUUUCUUUUACUAACUAUACCCUUGCCUUGCAGUAAGCUUUUGGCCAUUUGCCAACAACAUUGAAUCAUGUACAGUGCAGUUUGCAUGCAAUAAUGUAUAGAGGACGACUUUUAUCAAGAUCCGCAUCUUCUCGGUCUUGUGUAAAGCGUACCUUGUUUGGAUAAAUCGGAAUAUAAUUAAAUACUGAUAUAAUAUAAAAUGAAUUUUUUUUGGGUGAAAUAAUACAGUUGAAAAAUAUCACGAUUUAAAAAUAUAAUAUUUUAAUAAUAUCAUAGUUUAAAAACAUGAUAUUUGAUAUAUAUUGCAUUUCAGAACCAUAAUGUUUUCUUGAUAUUUGAUGUUUUGGCUUCUAUAAGGUUUUAAGUCAUUUUCGUGUUUUAAAUCUGAAAAAAUUUAUAAAAUUAUAAUUUUCAUUAAUUUUAAAUUUUAUUUAUUUUAUGAUUUUAGAAAUUUAAAAUAUUUACAAUUUUAUCAAAAUUUCGACAGAAUUUUUUCUAUAUAGAAAUUAUUUCUAAAAUUUUAUCUCGCUUAAAAAACCUGUAAAAAAAAAACACAAUAAAUACAAUCAACAAAUUCUAUCUAAACUCAACAUAUUAUCAUAUUCCAUGAUCACAAGUAGCCUCAAGAACACACACACACACAAAACAAAUAUAAAAUAAUUUAAUAAUACAAUAUUCAAGGAAUCAUAGAAUAUAUAAAUAUAAGUCAUCUAUCUAUCUACAUUUACGUCGUCUACUGGAUGAUCCGAGCUCAUCAGUAGCAUGACCAGAUCCAGCUCCUGCUUAAGUGUCCUCGUUCUCUACCAUGACAUCAUUAAGAGUUAGUCUCUCUUCAAAGGUUUUAAGUCCAGUGCGACAAACAUUUAACCCUUUGGAUGAUAUAAUGUGAAUUUCGCUUUCUUCGUCAGUACUAAGAAGAUAAGAUGAGGCCUCAUUACCCUCAUGUAGCAAGAAACCAACAUAAUAUUAAUAAAAUAUUAAUGUUAGAUUAAAAGAUACAUAAAACUCAACGGUUAACAUAUAUUAAUCAUAAAAAAACUUGAUGACUUAUAUGAUGUUGAAUCUGUUGAGCAUAUUGCUUGUACUGCAUAUAUCCAGGUGGAGGAACCUGCUUGAGAUAUAGAGUAAUGAUCUUUUGCAUUAUACUCAUAUACCAAAUCAUAUACUUCUCGUUAAUAAUCACAUGAUGCAUCUCUGUAAAUAUCUCAUUCCUCUAUGCAUCACAUUGUGAUAUAAGCACCAUACCUGCCUAACUAGUCGUGAUCAUUAUUUUUACCUCUACAAGUAAUGGCGUGCAAAACAUCAGUCAUAUUAAUAUCGAAUGGAAUGUGUUGUUUAUAGUUGAACUGUCGUAUUACCGAUCCAAGCAAUGGUACUAGAACCCUGAGGGGUAGCUCAAUUGGUCAGGUCUUGGGUUUUCUCUCUAAUGGUUACGAGUUUGAGUCCCCUCAGAGCCACCGGAGGCUUACAUAAUCAUUAAUUUCAGGACCCGUGAGAUUAAUCGAGGUGCGUGCAAGCUGGCCCGGACACCUAUGUUAAUAAAAAAAUAUAUGCUAUUAGACUUUCUGUAAAAAAAAUCGGAUUCUAGUCAAUUUAACAUGAUUUUAACUAAAUUGCAUUACUUCAACUCUAAUUGGAAAAAUUCAUAACAAAUUCAAUUAAAUUCCUAAAAUUUAACAUUAAAGCAAACUUAACAAAAAAUUAAACAUAAUUCAUGAUAUAUUAUCAAUUAAUAUUUUUAAUGCUCAAUUGCAUUAAAUCAAACACAAAUUCUUAGCAAAUUAAUUUAAUUCCAAUAAAAUACUAAAUUAAUCAACUUAUCAACAAUUCAAUGAAACAUGUAAACCGCCACAUUUAUGCUCUAUUUCAUGAGUGUGUGCGUAUUUAACUACAUUAUUAGUCGAUUCCAACAAUAUACAUAAAAUCUCUAAUUUGACAACUUAACCUAAAUUAAACGCAACACAUAAUUAAUUGAAAUAAUUAAUUCAUCAUUAAUUCAACUUAUUUUCAUGUUCAACUAUAUCAAAUAAACUCUAAUUGAAUGUAUUUUUAAUUAAUUUAUCAUUAAUUUAACAAACCUUAAAUUCACCACAAACCCUAAAUUCAACCUAAACAAUUAUUUGAUUUCAAUCAAAACAAAUACAAAUUAAUAUCAAUGUAAUAUGUUUACCUUACUUAUAAGACUACAAGAAUGGAUAAGGUGGCGCCGACAACAAAUGGAAUGGUGAGUUUUCAACAUAAAAACAUCAAAAGAUGCUUAGAGACUAGGAUGAGUUUGAUUUUUGAUUGAUUUAAAGGCAAAAUCUAAGUGUUUAACAAGUUUUUUAAGAGAAAAAUGAGGGUGUUAAUAUUUAUUUUUUGUUAGAGAAAGAUAACAUUGUGUGUUCGAUCUACUCCUUUUAAAUUUUAAUUAACGUGACACUUGUAAAAUGCAUCAUGUAGUUAUCCCGUUUUAAAAAUACAAUAUCUAGUACAUAUAAUGCUUCAAAAGCACGAAAAUAUCAAAUUAUAUCAUUUCACUAAAUGGGUCAUAGCCCUCAAUUUUCAAGUUUGGUGCGGUAAUUUGACUAAAAAAACCACCUUGCUUUCCCUUUUGUGAAGGAGUACUUGAUGUACCUUGCAAUUUCUAUCUUGUUCUAGUACUGUUCACGCGGAAAUUUUUUGUUUCAAAAAGUAGAUUCAGGAGCUGGUAGCCUGGUACAAAUAAACUGCCGUCCACUUCCCAUUUUUUUAAUUUGGUAGAGCCCCAUGACUCUUGGACAGGGGACACACCUUACUCUCAUUUUUCUACGAGCACAUGCUCGAGGCGUAGAAGACAAAAAAGGUAGAUAGACACUUUGCCUUUCCAUUUUGUUUGAAAAAACGAGGUCUAGAGUGAUUGACUCGUGAGUCAUGAUAGCAAUAACCAAACAAUAUUCUAUUUUCAUUGUCGACAUGCUUUCUUUCACUGUAUAUUAUAGAGCUGCGCAACUGCUUAUUUUGGCAUCCUAAUGCAAAGCUAAAGGGUGGGAAUCAGUACAUAGGAAUGUCCGUAACGGUUAGUUUUCCAUGAACUAGUUCAGAGGUUGGAACUUGGAACUGCAGAAUUCUGGUACGUCUUUUGACUGUCCACGGUAAAGAGAGAAAUAGCUGAAGAAUGCUUCUUUUGCAACAAAAUGGUGCUGUCCACAAUGCCCUACGUUAGUUGAACAUAAAUUUUUUGUAAUGGAUUACUGAAAAAUGUUGCAAAACACUAGCAAAACUUUCAAAUUUGUUGAAAAAGAUCGACUUGAAUAUUGCAACAUCCAGAACCCACCAUGAUUCAAACAACUAUAUAUGGACAGUGAGUUCAACCUGAUGUUGUUUGAUUUUUCUUAGUGAAGCCCUGUAGAUGAUGAAUCACAUGCUAUAGAUACAAUGCCAUGAGCAUUGAGGAGAGUAUUGCGUUCAAGAAAAUGCCUUAUUUGUCAUUUGGUUAAACAAAAUAACUUUUAUUGACAUGUUAAAAACAUGUUAUCACAGACUGACAGACAUAUAUACAAUCAUUGAAAGUAAAUUGCUCGAGUUUAUACCAUACAGUAGCAUUACUUUUAUUUGUUUCUUUUAAAGAAGGUUUAAACACCCAUUUCAGUGCAAUAAACUCUCUCAUAGACAAUUACAAACCUCUCUAAUUACCCAAGAAAUUACUCACGACAAUAUUGGAUAAGCAACGAAGAUCUUAUUAGUGAGUAGGAAACACACUGACAUCAUCUAAGACAGGGCCACACAUGUGACCAUAAUCGUGCUGCUUAUUGUGAUAGUAUGCACUGUAAAAUGUAAUCCUUGUCCUAGCUGAAACUGCCUGGAACCUCAAAAUUGCAGUCUUGUAUCCACCUUUUCCCUGUGAGACGUAGGGAACUUUGACAGUUUCCUUGGCAGCAAAUGCCUCAACCAUCAUUGAUCCAUGGCAAGCAUUCUUUGCAUCUCCGACUGUGAAUGUUAGGUUGUAGAAUUUGUCAGGAAUUGUCCUAAUGACUUGUGCUAUGGCACUCUCUCUCCCUGCUACUAAUUCAAUUGCCGCAAAUCCUUCGGGCACAAAGAAAUGCUUGCUGUCAAUGUAUUUUACUGGUUUGAGGGAUUCAAUGAUCCAGCCAGGGAGGGGUGAAAUUUGAUCUUGUUGCUUGGGAGGGAGCAAGACACCUGUCGAGAAGUUCUUGAACAUAUGCGGACCAACUUCAAAGCCACCGUUUUUCACUAGGUUGCCUGUGUAGAAACAAAAUGAAAAAACAAUACUCACUUAGGUUGUCUGAAGAGAGCACAUAAAACAGCAUGUCUUCUGGAAAUUCUAAAAAUCCUGUAAAUGCUGGGAUCUUACCUAUAGUACGCCGGAGAGGUGGCAUCUCCUUGAUUGCAAUAGCAUCCACUAUAGGACCACAAGAGGGGUCCUCUUGAAUUCCGAGAUUAUGAAAUGUGACCUUGACAACAUCAGAAGUAGCCUUCCAAGCCAAGGAAUAAGUGUCACCCCCAUCGCUGCUAUAAAGGGUCUGAAGAGGGAGGUCACUUGAUUGGCCAGGGACUGAGACCCUUAGCACCUCAUCCUGAGCACAGGUUCUGGUGGCUCCAAACGUGAGAGCAUAGAUUGAACCUCGUUUGAGAGUAAGAUUUUGAGAGAUAGAUGCCUCAUUGCCUAGCCUCACUGCAUGGACCCCUCGAGGAACGGCUAGGAAGAAGCCACCUGGUUGUGGUCCACCCGAGACAUACUCUACUAAGCCAUUGAUUUCCCAUUUGGGGAGUGAGUAUUUUCCUAUGAUCACUGUUUUCUUGAGGUUUGAUUUUGCUGGUGCCUCUUCAAAGUCCCCAUUUUCAACAAGUCCUGCAAAAUGUUGCCCAUGCCACACUGUGUUAAAAAUGACAUUAUAUCACAUGUAAAUACUGAACAUUUCUUUGGUUAACUACCAAAAACAUUGCACAUAAUCAAGUAAAGAGAGGUGAUUUUUACCAUCAAGAAGUGGAGGUGGACUAGCAGCAUGAGCUAAGGAGAAAAUGAGAGCAACGCAAAGAGAGAGAAACAGAGCCAUUGUAUUUAUUUUGCUGUCAAGGAGCAACUAGAAGUGGCUCUUAAAAUAGGGAAAAAAAGCUCCCAAGUGGGUAUAAAAGAAUAGCGAAAUCUAUUUGUAUAUUUAUAGCACAAAAAAAGCUGGAUGCAUUGAAGAAGGGAAAUAAUAGAAAACAACCCAUGUUAACGUGUCAUCAAAUAGCCAUGGGAUGUUUUGGUCUGUCCCUCUUUUCAAAACCUAAGUCCCAAAUUUCCACUGAGCUUCUUGACUCUUGUGGUUGGACCCUUCCUUGGUUGCCGUGAUUUGCUCUCUUCCAGGACUUUUUUAUUUGGAUCUCAUCUAAAUCUAGAUUCAUUUGUUCCUUGUCCACACAAGCCGGUGAUUAUGCAAGUUUGAUGCUUGAUUUUGUUAUGCGUAUGCGUGAUUAAUGAUUAAACCAAAGAUGUACCAGUUUCUUGCGUCUUUAACUUGAGUUGAUUUUGCAUUUGCACCCUAAUAUCUGCCUUCCAAAUAGAAUUUAUGUUGGUGGGCGUAAUGUAAAGAUGCCUGGCUUGAUUUUUUGACAGAAACAGAUGGGCUCGUGUGAAAUUGUGAAGGCAACACUACAUUGCAGCUCUUGUAUUAAUUAAGGUCAGUGUUUGAACUAAAGGUAAUUAAAACGGGUUGGUAAGACGUUAAUGAUAUUGCUUGAUGCCGCUAGUAUCCUUAAUUAAGGGAUUUUAUGAAGUGUAGCUCUUGUAAUAAUGAUUUGAAUUUCUUGUUCACCAAAAUAUUUGACUCCUAGCUAAUUUUGAAAGACCUCUGCUCAUGUAUAAGCUAUAAAAUAUCAACUAACUAAGGCAUUUACUUCAAUGUACACAGCCCUUUUCAUCUGAAGUUAUUUGACUCUGCUUUUUGGAUAAAAUAGUGCGAUGCUGUAAAGAGAUUUACAGAGUGUUGAGAUCUGGCCAGUGUUUUGCUGCUUAUGAAUGGUGCAUAACUGAAUCAUCUGACCCUCUAAACCAAGAACACCAAAGAAUUAAGGUUACCUGCAUAAACAUGUCCCUUGUUCUGACGUUUACACAUAGGGUGUGUCUAGCAAACUUAUGCUUUUGGAAAUAGGGAGAAGUUGAGCUUGGCAGUGGACUUCCUGACAUCAGGUCAAUGUUGGUUCAACUAUUUACUGUGUUCUACUUGUAUAGCUCAGAGUUAAGAGAUAUAUAUAUGGAAAAUCAAGAAAACAUCCUUUACUAUCGUAUAUGUUUUACUAUUCUAUUAUGUUUUAGGGUAUAUGGGAGAAGGAUGUUGCUGUGGGUUCACCUCUACCUUGGUAUUUGCCACUUGACAAAAAUCAGUUUUCACUAAGCAGUUUCCGGGUAUCUGCUGUUGGACGAUUCAUCGCAAAGAACAUGGUACGAGUAUUUUGGUGAUUUCUUUUGAACCAAAAGUUUUUAUGAUCAUUUUGGCCGGCUAAAAUAUAGAGAGAUGGGAUGAGGUGUAAAGCUGUAAAUAGGAGCAAUCGAUUUCUUUUAUGAUUUCACAUCAAUCCAAUGCACAUCUGUUCCUGACUCCUUACAAAGUGAUCUAUAAGUCACAGAUUUGUAGCUCAUUCAGUUGAAGGUUGUCAAAGAGUUCAGGCUUUCUUGGAGAAAGCAGCACUUGUUGAAAGUGUCAGGUAAAUGCUUUCAUAAUAGUUUGACUGCAUAUCCCAAUCUUAAAGACCGAUAAAUGUUAGCCUAGCUACUGGAUGCAAUACAUUAAAAUACAAACUAGAUAUCAUGAGUGCUUUUCAUAAUUUUCCAUUUUGAUCUCAUGAAGGCUACCCACCUGGGUUUCUUCUAUCAAUUUGAUCAUUCAAUCUGGUUAACUAUAAUUUAUUUUGGUAAGCAUUUUGGAUGUAUUAGUCUCGUUUUCUUGAGCAAACAUUUAUGCAUGCAUUCAGUGCAUGAUCAUUUCUGUCCUUGAUUCACGCAUGAUGGGGGUCUUUACACCAAUAUACUUUUUCAUCGGUCGGAAACCUCUGUUGACUGUUGUAGGUCAAAACUUGGAAGAUGCUUCCAGGGUUUUUGCACAUUUUCUCCUUGAUUGCUGUUAUUUGUAAUUGAAAACUGAUUCUGGUGCAUAUUUGUUUCUUGGGGACCAGAGAUAAGGAUUUUCCAUGCAUAAGUUAAUGUGUCCAACUUAACUAUGUGCUGUUUUUUUAUUCAAGAAAAAAAGGUAAUACGUAUUGGAUUCAAAUCCCUGUAAUUUCCAUGCCAGCUCGAAUUUUACAGAUGCAAUAUCUCUGAUGAUUAAUUUUACUGAUACAUUUCAACAAGUACCUAGAUAAAGAACAGAGAGAUUAACAAGUUUGGAUUGGAGCUGAGUUUAGGAUUAUUUAGAUAAAAAUUUAUAAAUGAAUAUGAUACAGGAUCAUAUAUGCGAUUAGCAUUCGGGUUUAAAUGAAAAUCUGACAUCGGGGAGGAAUUUCCAGUAGCCAUUCCUAGCUGAAUGAAACUUCUGUCUGUAACAUUUUCAGAUUCAAUUUCAGUCUAACAUUAUCAGUAAAAUUUAUAGAAACCCCAACAAGAGUUGACGAUCACUAUUCUUCUCAAGGAGAACAGGAUAAAAUGUAGUGGCAUCCCUCUGUGAGAUCCCAACCAGCUGCUGGCUCCAUGCAAUGAUACAAAGCAACGGAUUUCCAUAUCAAGCAAGAAAGGGGAACAACACUUGAAAGGGUUUUGUCACUGCAUGAAUCAUGGGCAUGACACAGAUCAUGGACAAAUGAGUCCGAUGAUCACAACAUAGCGCAGUUUCACUAGAUGAAGUGCAAUGGAGGGUCCCAGAUGGGCUAUCCAUGCAGUCUUUUGGUGUACUCCAGUUGAGCUUAGGAAAGACUGCACCUCCAAGGGUUUCAAUCGAUUCCUUGAUCUUCAAUUCAAGGGAAAGAAGGGAGCGGUGGAGGCUUCUCUGGUUCAUCUUCAGAUUCUUCUGACACGGUAUAGUCUUCUUCGUCUAUGGGAUUGUGGAUUCUGUUCGGCAGGGCAUCUUCAUUUGAGAUAGAAAGAGGAAGGUGGAAGGGAUCGGAUCAUCAAGAAGGUACUCGAAUAAAGAUUCUCGAAGUUCAAGAAUUAUAGUUCUGAUAGAUACAGGCUUGAAUUUUGGGAACCAUUCGUGAAUCUGGCAACGGUUCACUUCUUCUUCCUUCAUUUCGGUAGUAUAGGCCAUUACCUUCGAGUCUCAAACGAACCCACUUCAGUUGCUUUCUUUGCCAUCUGGUAUAGGAAAACACAAUCAGAGCACUACAAGGGGAAAUGCCAUAAACAGUAGAGAUCUCCGAGCCUUGCUAGUGCCCAAGCAAAGCUUCAUACACUGAACUAUCGAAAACAAAAUAUAUGCCACAGCAGCAAUAUUCAAGGACAGAUGAGAGAAUCAUCAUCAUCAGAGGGCUUAAUUUAGGGCUCAGGUAUUUGAAUUCAACCAAAACUUUGAGAAUAUAUGUGAUGCCCACAUAUCACGUCAGUGUUAUGAAGAGAUUGGAUUAGAUAAAAAGAAAAGCCAAGAUUUGUGUAUAGCAAGGAACUUCUUAUGAAAGCGAAAACAAGAGAUUCAAGGCUAUUUAGACAGCAUAGAAGCAUUAUGCUAAUGUCCCUUCUUCAUCAUUUGCCAUAGACCCUAAUCCUCCCAAAGUUAAACUCAAGCAACCAGCCAUUAAUAGCAAGCAUUCACUAGCCACUAGCCAGAUUAUCACCACUUUAAAGCUCAAUCAUGGUUUUCACAGCUUCUGUCAUUCCUGCUCAAGCAGACGUCAACGACACUCAACCUUGGGGGAUUCUAACCCACUCAAUGUAAAUUAUUUGACUUUGUCAAGAAAGCAGUACAAAUGACUUGGCUAGUUAAAUCUGUAAAUUUAAAUGCCGUUUGGUAAUGCGGCGGGCCUGAGGUUAGGAAACCACAGUUUCUACGUUUCUACGUGUUUGGUAAUGCGAAAAAACAUGUUUUAUUUUGGUGGGAUCACAAUAAUUGUGGCUGACUUGUGGCUGAUAAAAAGUUGGAAAAUUCUGCUUUCCAACAGCAGCUGCUUCAUUUUUCAAGAUCCAUCAACAAGCUAAGAGAAAAAAAAAGUCGGGUCAACGAUAUAAACAUGGUACGAAAUGCACGGUAACUUGAAAUAAUAAUAAUAAUAAUAAUGAAAAGGGUACUAGUCAGUUUGUAGAUUUAUUUUUUUAAAAUUUUCGAGUCUUAUAAACUUCAGGGCUGCUGAAGGCUUACAUAAUCGUUAACUUUAGGACCUGUAAAAUUAGUUAAGAUGCAUCCAAAUAUCCAUAUUAAUAAAAAAAAAUUAAAAAAACAAACCAGUUAACACCUCACACUUGUACAAGUUGAGUGAUAGAACGAACCCGACCAAAGUCUUUCUACCUUGGAGAAUGGGUUAAUAAGGAAAACAAAUGAGAUUAAGGUUGUAUUUAAUUAGUGUUUUAAGAUAAAAAUAAGGGAUAAAAAUAAAAGGUUAAGUUUAAAAAAUAAGAGAUAUAGACCUGUUUUCAUCUCUUUUAUUUUUAAAUAAUGAUUAAAUAUUAUCUAAAUAAUAAUUAACAAAUAAAUAAAAAAUAAUGAUGAGAAAAUAGAGAUUAAAGUUAUAUUUAAUUAGCAUUUCAAGAUAAAAAUAAGAGAGAUAUAGAAAACAGUUAAAGUGAAAAAAGAAAAAGAAAUGAAGGGAUAUGGCCUUGAUUUCAUUUUUUUAUAUUGAAACAAUAAUUAAACAUUAACUAAAUAAUAAUAAUAAAUAAAUAAUCAUAGAAAAAGCCUCUUAUGAAAACAAGAAGAGCAUUUUCUAUAGAUUUAACACUCUUCCAAAAAAACAAAGAAAAUAUUUUUUCGUGAAUUUACUAGGCUAGUAAACUAGCUUGAAUUAUUUAACUAAUUUAAAAAAAAAAAUAUAUAUAUAUAUAUAUAUAUAUAUCUCAAUCCAUUUCUUUUACACAUUCAAAAAUCAUAAUAAUGAAGAAAACAAUCAAUCAAAUUUAGAAUUUUAAUCCAAAUUCCAUUUAUUUUAUUAAUUUUUAUCAAACCCAUGUAAAAAAAAACCCCUCUGUACUUGUGCCUGCUUCUAGCUAUUACCUUGGCAGACCUAAAGUCAUCCAGAAAAAUACAUUUAAAAAAAAAAGAAAAAGGAAAACCCCCCGUCUCUGGUCCCAGUCUUCUGUAGAAUAAACAAGUCUUUCGCAUUGUCUUUCUCUCUGAAAAAACACUGGAGUAAUCAACAAGAAAGAAAGGAACAAAACGACGGCGGUAGGCAAAUAAGAAGCGGAGGAGAUGGAGAUAGUGAAGGCAAGGACUGAUAAGCGAGAAUACAAGAGAAUUGUUCUUCCAAAUGCUCUCCAAGUCCUUCUCAUUAGCGAUCCCGACACCGAUAAGGCAAUUUCAAUUCCUUAAUUUUUGCAAUUUCAAUUCAAUUCUGGCGCUUUAAUCACUGAUUUAGGUCAAUUCUAACCAUUUAUUUUUCGUUUCUUUUUAGUGUGCGGCUUCUAUGAAUGUUAGUGUUGGUUGUUUCAGUGAUCCUGAUGGUCUUGAAGGACUCGCUCAUUUUCUUGGUAGCCUUUUCUUUUUUCUUUUUUCUUUUUGUGGUUUUCAUGACGGUUUUUUAUUUUAUUUUUUUGGUUUCUGGUAUUGGCAGAGCAUAUGCUGUUUUAUGCAAGUGAGAAAUAUCCACUAGAGGACAGUUACUCUAAGUACAUUAUUGAGGUGAUUAAUUAUUUAAUUAUCAUUUAAAUUGCUUACUUAAGAAAGAAAGAAAGAAAGCUCCUUUUAUUUCCUGUUAAAAUCUUUAUAUUUAUUCUAUGUGGUUCGGGAAGGUUGAAUUGUAAUUUUGGUGAGAAUUUAUGUGUUACUAAACGAUGUUUUCUACGUAUUUUGUUGUCUACUUGAUGUGUAGCAUGGGGGCAGUACCAAUGCUUAUACGACGUCGGACCACACCAACUAUCAUUUUGAUGUUAACAGUGAUUGUUUUGAAGAUGCUCUGGACAGGUAUAAAAUGCACGCUUUCUUAUUUUUAUAAUCUGUAAUGAUAGAUAGCUUGUUGGUUUUGUCAGUUAUCUUAUAAAGUUUGUGACCUGGUUCUUUGAAUGUGAUUUACUGUUCAGAUUUGCACAGUUCUUUAUCAAACCGUUGAUGUCAGCGGAUGCAACCGUUAGGGAAAUUAAGGCUGUUGAUUCUGGUUAGCUGCUGUGCUUAGACUUUUUUUCCUUUUUAGGUUUCUCAAGCUGGAUUGAUGCUGAGUUUCUUUUCGGAAUUAGUGUUGGUAAUUACUUACUCUGGUGUUUGUGUCUCUCUUGUACAGAAAAUCAGAAAAACUUACUGUCUGAUGGUUGGAGAAUAAACCAGGUAUCAUUCAAUGCACUUGCUCACCUAUCCGGUAGACUGUUGGUUUUCUUUUGUUAAUCUUUCUUUUCAGUCUUUUGGUUGUCUUGUAUUUGUAUAAACUCAACAAAUUGGUUGCAUGUUGCAAGUGUUUUAGUUGAUAUGUUGUUUGCAAAUUCCUAAUGAUGAGGAAUCCUACAGAUAUCUAGGUUUUCUUUUUCCUUUUCACCUUUGAAACCACCUAGACUAACAAGAGGCCAAUUUAACCUUCCAAAUUAACUAUAAGUAAUGUCACAGAUCACCUGCCGUUUUGUCUUAGUCACUCAAAAACAGGUAUUCCAUUGGGUAGUUCUAUGCUUUUGCAUGAUAUUGCACAUUUGAUUCUGCUCUAUUUGAAGGUGCAAAAUUAGCGUUUAUGAUAUACUUGGUCACAACCUUAAGAAAUAGUGAUGCACAGUUCGUUCUUUGUAAAUAUUGCAUUUCACAUGUAGCAAACCAUGCUGCUUGUCAUCAAUCACAGCUUCGUAGUGAUUAUGCAAUUAAUACUACUCACAAACUGUUUUUUCUCUCUUUCAUUGCAGCUUCAGAAACAUUUAAGUGAGGAAGGCCACCCGUACCAUAAAUUCAGUACAGGUUAGCUGCAUAUGUCGAUGUAUAUGUGUGGUUGUAUGCAUGUGUGUAUGAGCUGGUAUGUUAUUUGUAGAACACAGGAAUCCAGGCAUGUAGCAAGUCAUGCAUGCUUGUUGAUUUUCAGCAAAACAUCCAUACUGCCUAUGACUUUGUAAAGUUUAAUUAAUAAUAUUUUUCUACAACAUUAUGUUUUUAACUAAUGAUAAUUUCUUAGGGGCGAAUGCCUUCCACUGGCUUCCCUUAACUUCUAAAGGAAUCAUAUUUACAACUACAAUGAUGUUUCAUAUUAAGGAAGAUCAAAAUUUAUAUUCUUUCCUGAAUUGUGUCUAUCAUUUGUCAAUUCAUAGGGAAUUGGGACACUUUGGAAGUUCAGCCAAAAGAAAAGGGGCUGGAUACAAGACUUGAGCUUAUAAAGCUCUAUGAAGAAAAUUAUUCAGCCAACCUCAUGAACUUGGUAAUAUAUGCAAAAGGUUAGUAAAUAAGCCUCCCUUCAACAUUAAUUAUCUCUUGAUUUCAUUAUUUACCAACAAUUACAACUAUAAAUUUCUUUGCUGUGGAAAUCUUCAGAAAGCCUUGAUAAAAUACAAAGCCUUGUCGAGGAAAAGUUCCAGGAAAUUCGAAAUAAUGAUAGGAGCUGUUUCUCUUUUCCUGGUCAGCCUUGCUCCUCGGAGCAUUUACAGGUAUGCCAAGUUCUGCUGCAUUUCUGAUUCUUUGCUCGCUUCAUACUUUUAGAGAAUGUUAAACUUUUGUGAAAGACAGUUAUGUGUGGCUGAAGAUAUUAAACUUUUGAGAGAAUGUUUAAUAUUACCUUUAUUCUUCACUGUGUUUGUUUUAGAUACUUGUUAGAACUGUCCCGAUAAAACAAGGUCACAAAUUGAGAAUUGUUUGGCCAAUAACUCCGGGCAUUCUUCACUACAAGGAAGGACCAUGCAGGUAUCUUGGCCACCUGAUUGGCCAUGAAGGAGAAGGAUCUUUGUUUUAUGUCUUGAAAACCUUAGGUGGGUUUCCCGCAUCCUUACGAUCUAUCUUUAUAUUUUUUUUAAUUCUACUUUAUUAGAUAUACACAUAGGUGGUUUGCUUUUUGCUUGGCAGUCCGCUUCUCAUGUUCAGUGAACUCUGUGUGCAUUCACUGUGUGCAUGUUCAUUCUUGUGCCUGUAGUUACCUGUCUUUUAUUUAUGAUGCUGGAAACGCUGGCUUCUUCUUUUUCUUUUUUGAAAAUCAGACUUGCCUUAAGAUUUGGUUACUUUAAAAAAAAUGCAGGAUGGGCCACUGAUUUAUCUGCUGGUGAAGUAGAUGGGACAACAGAGUUCGCUUUCUUCACUGCAGUAAUUAAUCUUACUGAUGCUGGCCAUGGUUAGUUCCCCUUUAGUUUUAUCUCAGUUUUUGCUCUUGGACAAUCUAGCUUUAACAGAGUUGCAAAGCUUAGCUUAUCUUAUUUUUUAGCUGGGCAGAAUUAUAUCUGGGAUUAACAUCUUUUAUCUAAACUAUUCCUUUUUGUUUGUCGGAUUGCAGAGCACAUGCAAGAUGUUGUUGGACUGUUAUUCAAAUACAUUCACCUCUUGCAGCAGUCUGGUGUUUGCAAAUGGAUAUUUGAUGAGGUAUGGAAAUGCAUUAUAUAAUUAUGGAUUACCAUUUUGUGAUAUUACUGACAAACAGGGGAAUGGCUAACAUGCAUCACACACGCUUCUUGCCAUGCUCAUUUGCAACUCUAACCACAUAGACCAUGUUUAGAGAAUUUGAUGGGUGUUACCGUGUUAGUUUGAGAAAGAGAGAAAUGAAAUGUCAUUAUUGUGGUGAUUAGGCAAGAGAGCCAAGUGAAAGAGAAUGCUAGCUACUUAAGGAGAAAGAUUAUGCUGGUGAUUAGGCAAACCAGCAUAUAAUGAAUUCUUCUGCAGUUCAUUUCCAAUUUUAAAGUUGCAAGAUGAACUCAACCAAUUGGCAUUUUGUUUAAUUGACAUUCUCAUGCUGUGGAACAUAGGGUUCCGUUACACUUUAAUUUCUAGUUGAAAUUAGGGGUUAUCAAUUGGCCCAUACAAGUUUGAGCAAAAAAAAAAAGUUCAUUUGAACUGAAGAAGCUUGAGGAGAUGUAAGUUUUUGACCUUUUCUACCAUGCAUCUUGACAUUUUCAUGCUUCUAUCCUUUAUUUAAUGGUUUUCUAAGUUAAUUUUUGUUUUUGGAGCGUAUUUUGCAUCUCCCUGUCAAGUUAGAUUAUUUAUUUAUUAUCUCUUGCAUUCAGUAUUGAAGUUUCUCUUUCUAAUCUAUUCAAGAUGCUGAAAUAUUUUGUCUUUUCUAUGAAGCUUGCAGCUAUUUGUGAGACAUCAUUCCACUAUCAAGACAAAACCCCUCCAAUUAGUUAUGUUGUCCGGAUUGCAUCCAAUAUGCAGGUUAGUUAUGGAUUUGAAAGGGGAAAAAAUUGCGCACUUCCUCUGGAAUUUCUACAUCUUGCCAAUUUGGUUGUUGUUUUUAUAUAAGAUAUUCUACACCAUCAUGUUGUGUUGUAUAACUUUUGUGAGAAUUGCUCUUACUAAACAAUGUAGCCAAAUUUAAAACAUCUAUGCAUCCUCUACAAACAACAAUAACAACGAGCAUUUUGUUUUCAUUAUACACUUCUUCAUCAGAAGCAAUACCAGUUUACAAGUGCUUCAUCUUCUAACUUAUGAGUUGCAGAUUUUUUUUAAUUUGAUGAGCUGUGGCCUCAUGUGAAAAUAAACUGAAAGCCUUGACCUUUCAAUUUAGGGCCAGAAGAAGGAAAAUGGUUUGUGAUUAAGUUUUUUUAAAAAAAAAAAACUGAAAAGGAGGUGAAGUUAAUAUAAUUAGAAGGUGUGCCUCUAAAAUUUGGGGAUGAUUUGCUGGAAGAUAGAUUUUUAAAGGUUGCUAGAAAGGCUAAGAAGUUUUUGUUUCCUAUAGGAUUUAACUGGGAGUAAUUGAUGGAAGAAAAUGAUUUUACUUUUGCUAAACUGUAAUAGUUAAAGUUGAAGUGAGUUUUUGAUGUGUUGGGGUCAAGUUGUGAAUAGUUAAACGUUGGAGAUUGUUUGAGAGCUUUGUUUCUCUUUACUUUUAAACAUCUUUAAAAUAUAUUCAGGUAAAUGCAUGCAUGCAUAUAAUAUAGAUAUGUGCACAUAUGUAUGUAUAUGCUUAUUUGCAUGCUGUAUGUAUUUCAAAGCUUGUGACUGAGGAUAUGUUAGCUAGCAUAUUUUUAGAAUAAUGGUCUUUAAAUGGUUGUUUGGUUUCUUUUUAUCAGCUAUAUCCUCAAAAAGAUUGGCUGGUGGGAUCCUCCUUGCCUUCUAAUUUCAGUCCAAGCAUAAUUCAGACGGUACUUAAUCAACUUUCUCCAGACAAUGUUCGGUGAGUUAUUUAGAGCUCAAAGGAGCUGUAACUUUUGCCAAAACAAAUGAGAAGCAAACAUUUUUUGUCCCUUAUUCCUUAUUCUGUUUUUUUGGUUUAUGACAAUGAAAUGGAUUUUAUUAGUAAGGCAUGAAACCAGAAUUAGAUCAGGAGAAUAUGCCAACCACCAAAAAAUAUAAAGCAAGAAACAAAGAAAAAUCGUGUUAGAGGGGCUUUCUAAUCCUGUUGAACCAGAACUGAGUUGCUUUCGUGUUACCUUACUUUCAAGGGGAUUGAUAAUCGUAAAUGAUGCUAGAUUCCAAUUAAAUAAUAAUAGAAUGCAGUGAAAUUGAUGUAUUUUAGCACCGUUUAUGCUUAAGGGGAAUGUCUCAAAAUGGAAGAAAUAUGGCCAUUCGUUUUAGAAAGAUGAUAUAACUUUCAAUUGCCUAUUUUUUUUGUUAUGAUUGGAUCGGCAUUACAAUCACCUUGCAUGUAGAUAGUAGUUGUAAUCUGCCUUUCCAUGGUAAAGGAAAACUAGUUAUUGGGUGAACUUUUACAGACUUGUUUCUUUUCCUCAUCCAGAAUUUUGUUUGUUGUGCUCUAUACAUGUCUCAAUUUGUUUGUACAAAUUGUUCAAUCAGUUAUCUCCUUGGACAUCGACUUGGUUGAGAAAAUUUCUUAAUUACCUCCUUUUAUUCUGCAGAAUCUUUUGGGAAUCGAAGAAAUUUGAAGGGCAAACUGCAAUGACUGAGCCAUGGUACAAAACUGCAUACAGUGUUGAGAAAAUCACUGGCUCCAUGAUCCAGGUCUGUUGUUGGUUGUUACUUUUUAGAUUAUCCAGUCAAUGGUGUUAUUAAAUGCAAAUCUUUUUGGACUUCCAUUGCAAUUUAUUUUGCUUUACUGUUUGUUGUCAUCAAACUAUAAGCAGCUUCAUUUUCAUGAUUAGAAUCUCUUGUAAAGGUACAAAACCUGAUAUUUUGCAAGUUUUUGUCUGAUUGCAGGAAUGGAUGCUAUUUGCUCCUAAUGAAGAUUUGCAUCUGCCAGCGCCUAAUGUAUUCAUACCUACUGACUUAUCACUUAAGGAUGCACAAGAGAAGGUUUGAUGGAAUUCUAUUAUCUAUUACAUGAUCAUCAUUUUUUUGUUUGUUAUUUACUGAUGUGACUGACCUUUGUAGCAGGUCAAAUUCCCAGUUCUCUUAAGAAAGUCAUCCUCUUCAUCACUAUGGUACAAGCCUGACACGAUGUUCUCUACUCCUAAAGCUUAUGUUAAGAUAGAUUUCAACUGCCCCUUUGCUAGCAGCUCUCCUGAGACUGAAGUUCUUACUGACAUUUUUGCGCGGUUGUUGAUGGAUGACCUGAAUGAUUAUGGUACCACGAACUAAAAUUUGGAUUUAUUUUAGUGAAGAUAAAAUUUAAUCUCUUUACUUUUUUAUUUAUUUCCUUUUCUUCCUCAAGUUCCAGUAUCUCUUAUUUGAUGAAGCAGUGUAGCAUAUGAAUAUAUAAUUCAUAUGAAAUCCUCAUCUUGAUAAAUUAAACUUUAUUUGAUAUACUGGCAUAUUUGAUCAAUCUCCACUCUGCAUCUUACAACAGUUUUAUAUGUUUUGUAUGUUUCAGCUUAUUAUGCACAGGUUGCUGGUCUAUAUUAUGGCAUAAGCAACACAGAUAGUGGUUUUCAGGUAGUAGCCUAUUUGCAUAUUAAAUGUUAUUAUGAUUUCUCUUCUGUCCCCUCUCUCACACAACCUACUUUUGUUUUGUUUUUUUGUAGGUCACUGUUGUUGGUUACAACCACAAACUGAGGAUCUUGUUGGAAACUGUUAUUGAAAAAAUUUCAAAUUUUAAAGUGAAGCCCGACAGAUUUUCUGUGAUCAAGGUAAUGCAAGGAAGAGUUCAUACAGGGUUUGAACUUCCUGUAUGUACAAGUAUUUAUACUCAAAAGGAUACAUAUAUAGAUAUAUUGAUCAGUCAUGUAUACCAAAUAAUGCUCUCUUUGAUUACGAAAUCACUAUGAACAUCUUUUAUGAUUCUUCUGAAGCCCAAUCAAAGUGGUGGAGCUUGUGUCACGUGUUUCCCUGUAACCUGUCAAAGAACCAUCCCAACCCAAUAACUUAAGUUGUUAGGUGAGGUCCCAGAAUAUGAUUUAUAUUAUUUUCUAACACGCCCCCACAAGUGAAAGCCCUUUGGGCUUGAAACUUGCACAGGUCCACACUACAUUGUGCUUAAUUUUUAUCAAAUAAAUGGGGAUGAUGAAAUUCGAACUCGUGACCACUUGGUCAUCAAGACUCUGAUACCAAGUCAAAGAAUCAUGUCAACCUAAUAACUUAAACUGUUAGGUGAGGUCCUACAAUAUGAUUUAUAAUAUUUUCUAACAUAACCUGACUUUAUUUUCAUGUCAUUUGGCAAGUGCAAUUUUGAUAAUUAGAACAAGGGAAGGACAGAUAUGAGCCAAGCUCUGUACAUGAUGUUAAGAAGGUUGGGAAUAACUUUUGAAAAAUUCUUGUGGAAUAUGGCCAAGAGAAUGCCACUUUUAGAGACCACUGAAUUAUUUAUUCCUUUCUUUACCUUUCUUGUUUAAUUUUGGUAUUGUUUCUUUUCUUUAGGAUUCCUGUCUAGGUGACUUUUACAGGUUGCAUAGGGAAGAACAUAUGAGCAGUGCAUUUUUUUACUGAUUAUCAUUGAUAGACACCUUGUAUUUUUUCCAGGAAAUGGUGACAAAGGAAUAUGGAAAUUUGAAGUUCCAGCAGCCCUAUCAGCAGGCUAUGUACUAUUGUUCUCUCUUACUACAGGAUCAAACAUGGCCUUGGAUGGAACAACUUGAAAUACUUCCUCAUCUUCAGGCUGAAGAUCUUGCUAAGUUUAUUCCAUUGAUGCUUUCAAGAGCCUUCUUAGAGUGCUAUAUAGCAGGUUUCAACUGCCUGUCUUGUAUUUCUAUAAUCAUAUGGCUAUCUCGUCUUGAAUUUAAGUAUCAUUAGUAAUUAUUCCAUUCAUUCAGGUAAUAUUGAACGCAGCGAGGCAGAGUCAAUGAUUCUGCAUAUUGAAGAUGUUUUUAAUGAGGGUCCAGACCCUAUAUGCCAACCCUUAUUCCCGUCCCAGCAUUUAACAAGUAGAGUUAUCAAGCUUGAAAGGGGCAUCAAUUAUUUGUAUCCAAUUGAAGGCUUAAAUCCAGAUGAUGAAAAUUCUGCUCUGGUGCAUUACAUACAGGUAACUGUAUUUGCUUGUGAGAAAUGGUUUUUCUGAGUCAAUGUGGCUGCUUUUGCAGUUCCGUAGUUUUUGAGUUGUUGAAGAUAUAAUUUAAGUCAAGAAUGUACAUGAUUUCAACUUUAAGAUGUAGCAUCACUAAUGAAACAUAGUAGCAUAUAAAUAAAUUUAAAUACUACAUUUCUUGUCGUUUUCUGGUAAUUGACUGGAUUGAAUAAAUUAUUUCUGGUGAAAUUUUGAUUUCUAAUUGACAGAAUCAUUCAAUUGUGCAGAUUCAUCGAGAUGAUUUUACAUGGAAUGUGAAACUUCAACUGCUUGCUUUAAUUGCAAAGCAGCCAGCUUUCCACCAGCUUAGAUCUGUUGAGCAACUUGGGUACAUUACUGUUCUCAUGCAAAGGUAUCCAGAAUUACUCUCUAAACUUUGUUCCCAACAUGGAUUUUUCUCUAGGCCUUACCAUUUCUUUCAAUGUAGAAAUGACUCUGGUAUUCGCGGACUGCAGUUUAUCAUUCAAUCUACAGUGAAGGUAUUUAGCAUUUCUUUUGUGUGUCUCUUCUGGUCAUGUAGCCUUGUGUUAUUACACUCUGUUCAUUAAUCCUGGUAAUCUUGCUAGGGUCCUGGACAAAUUGAUUUGAGAGUUGAGGCAUUCCUCAAGAUGUUUGAAACUAAACUUUAUGGGAUGACCAAUGAUGAAUUCAAGGUGAGGUUCUAUUCUAUCCCUAUCAUAAUUGAUUGAUAUUUUCUUGCACGUCUUUUUAGGUGGUUCUGACCAGCAUGACAUUGGUCAAUGUUAUUUACAUGCAGUGAUUGUUUCUCUAACUUUAAGGGAAGCUCACAUGUUUCGUAAAAGUUAAAAUUCCUUUUGGGAGGAAGAUGGAGUAAUCUUCAAAAUACGAGCUUAAGUUGCGCAUGGUUAAUCUUUCUUCAAAUGCUUACCUUCUUCUCUGUAAAUUUUCUACCAGCACCUUUUUUUCCAAGACAGAAUGAGAUAUAGCUAGCCGCAAAUUGCAUGCCUAAACAAAAGAUUAAUUCCUCGCUACCAAUUAACAAAUUCUUUGGCUAUCUAAUUUUCUGUACGAGCUGCACAAUUUUUGAACAAUAUAACUUCAAUGAAAAGGAAAUCUAGUUGUUCCUAGACAAUCCACAUCUCAAUUCAUUAUUGUGAACAGUUUGGGCCAUUCAGAUGAGAGCGAACGAGGCAUAUAUUAGCUGCUUGUUUAUUUUGUUAUCUAAUUUUAUUUUGUUGUUGCCUCAAUUUGUUUUGAGGUUUGGUGGUUGCAAAUGACCUAUUUUUGACAAACCAGUCUUGUGAUCCAUUUCCGUUCACAAGGAUUUAAUUUCAAAAUGCCUGUCAAUGCUCUGCAGAGUAACGUGAAUGCUUUGAUAGAUAUGAAACUUGAGAAGCACAAGAAUUUAAGAGAAGAAUCUGCAUUUUUCUGGCGAGAGAUUUCUGAUGGGACCCUGAAGUUUGAUAGGCGAGAAUGCGAGGUAUGAAUCUCAUAUAUCUGCAGAUGUUUAUUAUUGGGUCCUGCAAAAUGGCUGGAAAAAAUCUAUAAAUUGUGUGGCACACGUUACCUUUCCCAGAAUCUCAUGUCAAUAUUGUUAGCCAGUUAGAACAAAGCUUUUUCAUCAAUGGCUUUUUUUUUCAAAUGUUCUAAACUUCUAAUCCAUGUUGUUACAACAGGUGGCCGCGUUAAAACAACUUACACAACAGGACUUGAUAGAUUUCUUUGAUGAACAUGUAAAAGUUGGUGCACCUCGGAAGAGGACAUUGAGCGUGCGGGUUUACGGGAAACUGCAUUCAUGUGAGUACCCAUCAGACAAAAGCCAACAGCUCCCGCCCAACGCAGUUCAGAUAGAAGAUAUUUUCAGUUUCAGAAGAUCACAACCUCUUUAUGGUUCAUUUAAAGGAGGCUUUGGUCACAUGAAGCUGUAGGGUUGGGAUAUAAAAGCAAUGGAGGUUUCCCCUUUUCAGCUGUGUACAAUCUGGUUGAAGAAAAUUGAAACCUGCAGCGAAGCAAGCAAAUGGUAGUCGUAGCUGAAGCCGAAGUAUAGCAAUAAAACAAGAAGUAUUCUCCAAAGUGAUUUUCAUGGCACUGUUUCUCAUUGAUCUCUGGCUUACAAUCGUGGCAUUGCAUUGUAAUUUAUAUGAAGUAUUUUUUAUGUGUUGCUUGCUUCUCAAAGACAACGAUGUCUUGCUAGAUACGUUUGUUUCAACAACCGAGGCCAAUAAAAAAAAUUAACAAAAAACCUAUUUAGCCUUUUUAAAAUAGUGUUUAUUUUUUAAUUAUAUUAGAUGUAUAUAAUUGUUUUAUGAGGAUGGUGUGAUAUAUAUAUAUUAAAUUUAUUUUCUUAUAAUAUCUUUAAUAUGUGUAGUUUUGCAUAAAAUUUGUUUUUUUUAUUUUACUCAAUAAAUUUUAUGUGUCAUUUCUGUUAUAAAUUGAUUUUAAUAAAUAAAUUCAUUAAACAUAAUUGGGUAAAUAACUUGUAUUGUGAUAUUAAAUAUCUUGAUCUAUAUUUGUUUUUUUAAUUUUUUUAAUUAUAUUUUUAUUUAUUGUUAAUGAUUUAUUUAUUUAUUUAUAAAAAUAGUUUGUGAUUUAUUUAAUUUGAUAUGUGCCUUAGUUUUUUUAUUUACAUUUUAAGAUUUUUUUUUGUAAAAAAGACGCGUUGAAAGAUUUUACCUGAAUUAUUUAUUUAUUGAAUUGCUAUUUAUUUUGGAUUUUUUUAUCUUUUUUUUUUUCAAAUUAUCCUUCAAAAUUUCAUUUUUUAUAGAUUAAACUUCAUGAUUUUUCAUGUGUGGUAUUUUCGGUAAGAUAAUUCAGGUUAUGGAUUUAAAAAGUUAAUAGAAGUUGAUAUCUUUUUGUUAUUUUUAUUUUUGAUAUUGUCGUUCAAUAUUGUUUUUCUAAUAAAAAAAUAAUUUUAUAAUUAUCUUUAAAUUUUUUUUUAUCAAAUUAUUUUUAUCUCAUGAAAUUUGUUAAAUUAAUAUGAAAUAACUUACGAUCGGCUUAAAUCAGUUUUUUUUUUCUGUUUUUUUUAUUUUGUCAUUCCAUGAUUUUUUGCUCUUCAAUAAAGUUCUUUUUCCUGUGUUAUCGUCAUCAUGGCUUUUAUAACAUAGGGGACGAUAUGUUUUAUAAGUGACUAGUCGUUUCGGUUAACAGAGAUGAAACCAGAGAACCUAGGCCCAGCAACCCCAAACCAAAGGCAACGGCGGUUCUGCAUCUAAUCGGGGAGUAUUGCCUGUUUUUUCUUCGAGAAAGAACAGUUAAUACUUGACAAUCAAAACGAAUUGGAAUAUUUCAGAAUUCAAUUGAAGCUUUCCAAUAAAUGGAAAUUAGAACCAAUAAAAAAAUUUAAAUACAUCGAUUCAUCGGUCAAAAAAUGUGUUUCUUUUUUUGAAUGAUUUUACAUGACUGAAUAGAAGACUAUGUCAAUAGUAUCUAAGCCCUUCGCCGCCUUGACUCCACAACUGGCCCCCCGAGAAGAGCCUCGAGUCGGCGCCUGACUCUCGCUGCCACCGUUGUGGCCAUGGCGCUGCUGCUGCUGGUGGUGGUGGAGGUCAUCGGAGUUAGAGGGAGGAUGGUAGUACAAGCGAGCAGUUUGUGGGCAGUGAGAGUAAAAUCUUCCAGCUAUUCUUACCCCAGAAUCUAACAACCCCAUUUCUCUACAACAAACUCUCUUCCUCCUCGUUUUUUUAUAAGAGCGAGAGUGAGAACUCGAGAGAGAGGGAGAGAGAGACACUUUAGGAGAUGUGAAAGCCAGUCAGUCUGAGACGUUGUUGCGAGAAAGAGGAGAGGAGACUGUGGUGUUAUAUAGGGAUCUCUCCUCACCUAAAACUCUGGCUUUUGACUUUCCCAGGUUCCUUUGGCUUUCUUGUUAGGUCUUCUUUUUCUUCCCAGUCCUUGCAGUAAGUUAUAUUGUAAUUGUGCCCCAUAUUAAUUGUACCCCUCAUCAUAAUUAUUUUACUUUUUAUGGCCUCUCGAAUCCAUGAAAGUCAAUUAAAUUUUUUAGCUUCGAAAAGGAAUAAGAAUCAUACCAGUCAGGAUUGUGGUUCAAAAAGAAAAAUAUCAGUGAGAACUAUUACUCUAAAAAAUAUUAAAUUGAUUUUUUUUAGUGUUUUCUAAUAGUUUUUAUAUGUAUUUUUGAACAAAAAACUAUUUUAAUAUAUUUUUAAAUAAUAAAUUAUUUAAAAAAAUAUCAUAUAUCAUAAUCUUAAAACUCCUCCAUCUUUAUUUAAGGGCAAAGAAAUCAGUGUAUCUCUAGAAUUUCUGGGAUUUGACACGUCUUUAUUUCAUAGGUGGGACGUAUUCAAAGGGGGUACAAGGACAAAUAAUUGGGGUUAAUAUCAAAUAUGUAAAAGUAAAGGACUAUAAAGGUAAAUGUGCGUGAAGGCGGCGCAAUAUGCGAAAAGGGCGUAGUCUCGUCUCGUGUUCCUUUUUUUCGGUGCUCUCUUUCUUGUAUGGCUUUUCAAACGUUCAGACUCUACGCACGUUCUCGACCGCGUCAAGCUUUGACGUUACGCGUUGAAUAUUCGCUACGUGGUUUUGACGGCGCUGUCUAGAGUUGGCUUUAAGACUUGAUUUUUUUAAGAAAAAUUCUUCCUUCGAAAAUAAAAAAUUUCCAUUGCCUCAAUGGAGAAUUUUCUUACCUAACUUAAUUUAAAUAGUCAAAUUGUUAGGAACAUGUUUUUGAUUUGUGCCUUGUUUGUUUCAGGUAAAGUAGCCUUCAAGCUUUCUCAAUGUUUGGUAAGCUCUUGGAAACUAAACGUAUUUGGAAAUAUAAUUACGGUUGUUUUUUAAAAUAUUUUUUUUUUUUUUAUUUUUUAAAAAUUAUUUUUGAUAUCAGCGUAUCAAAAUUAUUUAAAAAUACUAAGAAAAUAUUAAUUUGAAGUAAAGAAAAAAAAUUUAAUUUUUUUAAAAAUCGUUUUUGAAACGCAAAAACAAACAUAGUUGGAAUAAAAGCAAAAAUAAAGUGUUUUCUUCUUUUUUAUUCUAGAAAACACUUUCCUUGUUUUUACAAACAUAACAUCUUCCACGAAAUAUUUAUGUAUAUAUUUAUCCCCAAUGCAAAAAAUUUAUACCAAAAAAACCUAAAUAUCUAACUCUCAAGUAAUAUUAUUAACUAAUUUGGCUUUUUCAUUAAUUUAAAAAAGUUAUUUUGAGGUUUAAAAAUGAAAUUUACUUAAAAAAUAUUUAACAAGGUUAUGUGUCUAUAAUAUUAUAUUUGUAUAUUUAUAUUUUAUAAAAUAAGCUAUAUAUAAUAUAUGAUAUCAUAAAAAAAAAUCCUCCAUAAUUUUACUUUUUAUAUCUCAUUUUUUAAUUAUAAGUGCUUAAAUAGUUACAUUUGAUAUUUUAUAAAUAUUAAAUAGACUUGAAAAAAAAUAUUUAUAAGUUAUUUUUCAACUUAUUUUUCAUGACAUAAUUAAACACUAAAAAUUCUUUUUCAGCUUAUUUUUCGUAACAUUGUCAAAUAUCAGAAAAUAAUUUAUUUUUCAUGAAAAUCACUUUAAAAAAAAAAUUAUUUUCCAGCAAACAAACGAGGUCUUAGAUCUUAAAAUGAUCGGUUAAACCCACAAAGAAAAGAAAGCUUAUUAGUAUUUAGUACAAACUAGAUUAUUAAUCUGCGCUACAUUGCAGGUCGGGUCAAGUUUUUCUUAAACAUAAAAAAAAUAUUCAAAUGUUGCUAAUGUUUUUUUUUUUCUAGUGGAAAUUUUUUUUAAACCGUGUAGGGGUUGAUCCAACAUGACUCAAAUGACUUUACGAGUCCAAUCUUUAUAGAAAACAAAACAAAACAAAUUAUAAAACAUAAUUCUCAAUCAACUCAAUGUUGAAAGAUGUAAUUAAAAAAAUAAUUAAAAAAGGGCCUAAAAAGACGACUAGAUGUAACCUGUCAAACCCACGACCUGGAUAUAAGACCAAGAUAACCUCAUAGAAAGUAAAUGAAUACAAAUUAAGAAGUCCAAUUCUCGACCAGCUCAAUGCUAAAAAAUAAGAUUAAAAAUAUCAGUUAAAAAAAUAAAAAAAAAAUAACCAUAAUUAAUCCGUCAAACUCAUGACACAAGUCAUAAUACCGAAAUAACUUCAUAGAAAAAAUAAAAAAAAUAACCCAAGUUAACUUAUAAAAAUUUGCAAAUCUAGUCAUAAAACUGAGAGAACCUUAUAUAAAACAAAUUAAAAUAAAUUAUGAAACUUAAAUCUUAAUUGACUCCAUCAAAUUCAAUGUUAAACGAUAAAAUUUAUAAAAGUUUUAAUAAAAAAAUAAAAAAUAAAUCAAGUCAAUUUAAAUUAUCUCAUUAAAUACUAUUUUUGGAUUAUAAAAUUAAAAUAAUUUAAUAAAAAAUAAAUCAAAUUAAAUGAAGUCUAGUGUGUUAAAAAAAAACCAACCAAAGACACUUUUUCCCAACUAAAAGUAAAAAUAAAAGACACUUUUAAUUUUUGUUUUAGCCGCCACCCUCUACCCUCUGUCUCUUUCUCUCAUGUGAUUUACCUAGUUAUUUCAUGUAUGCUUAACACUUGCAAGAUGAACCCUGGCUUCAAAUCUCCCAUCCAAAGGCUUUCAUUAUGCUCUCUGCUGGGCACUGACAGGCCAGGUCGAAGCGACAAGCCCCUGAUAGAAGCUAGGCUAAAGCCCUCCUCGCUUUGUUCUACCAAAUGAGAAAAGAGCUCGUCACUUAGAUCGAUGGAACGAGAUACAGAUCGCUGAGAGGUCAAUGGUUAAUUAAAGGCUUGACCAACGGGAGAAGACAAGAUGACCAGAAGUCCAAGAGGGGUGGGUCGACAGGAGAAGCAAGUCAUUUUGAAGGAUUUAUCCGGUUUACCGGUCUUCAAAUAAAAAAACGAUACAAACCAAGCUGAACCAGUUCGGUUUGAGCCGGCUUUCAAUUCAGUUCAGGUUAAAUUUUUCAAAAAGAACAAUGACCGGUCUGGUUGGUUUUUUGGUCCAAAAUCGGACCAAAUCAGACCAUGAACACCCCUAAUGAAGCAUAAUUUCCGAUGAAAUACAAUAUUAAAUGAUGAAAUUGAAAAGAAAAAAACUAAUAAUAAUAAAAAAAGAAUUAGGCCAACUGGAUCAACAUGUUAAACCGUGACUCAAGUCAUGAAACAGAGACAAUCCAAUAAAAAAAAAUCGAUGUUGAAUGAUUUGUGACUCAAGUCACGGGAAUGAGAUAACCUCUUGAAAAGAAAAAAAAAACAAUCCGAUUUGACCAAGGUUAAAAUGUCAAAACUUGUGACAUUGAUUAUGAGACCAAGAUAUCUCCAUGCAAAUCAAAAACAUAUUAAGAAAUUCAAUUCUUAAUUAACUUAAUAUUAAAUAAUAAAAUUAAAAAAAAAAUUAUUCAAUAAAAAAAAUAAACAACAAGCACACACCCAACCUGCUACCGUGAGCUAAUUGAUGAGCCUAGUUCUUUUUUGUUUUUUCUUUUCAAAUGUUUCUUUGGUUUUAUUUUGGUGCUCCAAAAUUUUUUAUCAAAUUCACUAAAUUUCAGUUUUUACAUGUGGUUUUUAAAUACCAUGAUAAAUUUUAUUUGAAUUUUAAUAAUUUAUUUUUCAAUUAUUAUGUGUAUGAUAUAAAACUAAUAAUAUUAAAGAUAAAUUGUUCAUGAAAUUUCAAUUUGAUUUUUUUAUUCUUAAAAUUUUAAAAUUAAUUUUUAACAUAAUUUUAUUAUAUUAUAGAUUUUUAGCUUUCAAUCGCACAUAAAAUAUAAAAAUAUUAUUAUAUUAUUUUUAAAAAAAUUGUUUUAACAAGUAGCCUAACAAUAAAAAAUAAAAAAUUUCAUAGCUAGCCAUUCAAAUAAACAAAAGGCCACGAGAUCACAGCCCAACAACAUCGCACAUAAAAUAUAAAAAUACUAUUAUAUUAUUUUUAUAAAAAAUUGUUUUAACAAGUAGCCUCACAAUAUAAAACAAAAACUUUCAUAGCUGGCCAUUCAGAUAAACAAAAGCCACAAGAUUACAGCCCAACAACUGUUAAUCAAGUUGCUUGCAUUGGUAGAAAGCAAAGAGCAACUCGUGAGCAAUAAGGAAACAAUAAAGAAUCGUGUCCGCAAGAAUAUCAGGGACUAGGGGGGAAAAGAACUAUCCUGGGAUAUAUGAUUAAAAGAAAGCGUAAAGAGUUCACAGAGACAGCAAAUGAAAUUUGUAGAAUGUGAAGUGUCAUCUAUUUUUUAUUCUUAUAAAGAAAGAAAGAACCACGGUUAUUCCUUGCAUUAUGCUCAUUCCUUCUCAUCCCAUCAAAAUCAUCCUUAACAACAAUUCAAGGAAUAUAUAUCGGCCAUGGCUCCCUCCAACAGUUAUCAAUUGUGCAUAAUACUGACUUGCAUUCAAUUUAAGCUGAAAUUAUUCCUCAAUCUAUUAAUUUCAAGUAUAUGAACAAAGCUUUCUCAACAGAGGUAUAUGGCCGAAGCCCAACUCUAGGCUCAGCAAGAAAAACAAUAGCACAUAUCAAUAUAGGGAAAAUGUUCAGUUAACUAUAAUGUAUACGGUAAGGCGCUGCCACCGCCACCGCCACCGCCAUCCUUAUGUAUAUAGUGGUGUAAUACUGGUGUCACUCGGUUCCCCUUUUUUACAUCUUUUAUGUAAUUCCGGGCAGAAACAACAGCUAAAGGCAAUAAGACUAUUAUGCUGCUCUAUGUUAUGCUACCAGCCUAAUUAAUCAUGUACCAAUAUUUCCUAUUUCACUUUCAUAUAUAUUCGCUGACCAAAAUUUCCCUUGGUGGUGGGACGGAUAAACCCUAGAAGAUGACCUGUAGUUAUAUAGUAUAACUAGGUCAAGCUCCCUAUACAAUUUUUCAUGCUAUCUGCAAAAGGAGAGGUCACUGAUUACAAUUAUAACACAUGGCAGUAACAUUUUUAGUGCUAAUUUUAUAAAGUAAUCACUUCAUUGAAAUGUCAAAAGCGGUAAAAAGAUUUAUGAGAAGAACCGAGUACCUUGUAAAUAUAUGGGUCAUGUCUCCCUCCUCUGCCAGAUCUUUUCACUUCUUCUUGCCUUAACAGCCUAAAAUUUCACCACGGUUCAUUAACAAUCAAACGGUGUUGAAGAUUUUGCAAGUAAUAAAUAUAUAUAUUUUUUAUAAAAAGAGCACUAUUGCACACAAUUAGAUCUAACACAUUCCACGUGUCAAUCACGUGAGCUUACUCACUCACAUUCUCAAAGCUUUGCUCGUGCUAGGACUGUCUCCAAGCACUUGACGAAUUCUCAUUUCAGCGAAACAACCGCUAGACAGCAGCUUCAAUAUUGCUUCGGCUAGGCUGCUAAGGUAACGCGAGCCAGAGCCAGAUCUAGAUCUGAUCCUCUUCGGCUCCUCGUCAUUACGAGCCGGCUUCAUCAUUAAUCCUUUCCUUUUCAUAUGGUGGUUUCGCGCGCAAGCAGCGCUGGGAGUGCUUGACAAACACGAACCUGACUCCGUCGACGCCUCAACUGCCUUCUCUGGCGGAGCUACUGCGACGGUCCUCUGGUGACCCGAGAUCCAGUUCACCUUCGAGCGCUUCCUUCGUGCUACCUGCAAGAAUUACGAGAAUUAAACUCAACAGCAAUGAUUAUUAACUGAUCAAAACACAGAGAACGCUUCGUUUAACAACAAAAUCACAAAAAAAACACGAAUAAAAGGACCGAUCUAGAAGCAAACACAGUGCUAUGAAGAGCUUAAUCGAUAACAAAUACAGUAAGACUGAGAGAGCUUGUCUUAGAGCUUGUCUUAGAUAACAUCCAAACAGAAGCAAAACUGAAGAAAAUCAACUAAUAAUCACCAAAAGAGAUUCGUAAUGACUUCAAAUCAAAAUCAACAAAAAAAGAGCAAAAAAUCACAUACAAAUCAACCGAUAAGCAUAAAACAGGAAAAAAAACGAUUUCUAAUAGAGAUAUUCACUCAAAAUCAACAAAUAAUAGCCAAAAAUCUCGCUAUGCUAAAAUCAUCCAAAUAGAGCAGAAAAACACUAAAAUAUCAACUAACAAGAAUCAACAGAGACGAUCACUCAAAAAUGAACAGAACGAAGCCGAACAGAAACUCUGAGAUUAAACCGAGAAAAAAUGAAGACCACCUCGGGCUUCAUUUCAUGGCAGCGAGACACAAUAGCGACGAUCCGUAGCUUGUGAGCUCGAAUCUCCUUAAACGAAGAUACAUCACUAGUAAGAGAUGAAACGCACGAUUUCGAGCCACUAGUCACCGAGCUCAAGCUCUCUUCUUCACUUCUUAUCUUUCUAUCACUUCGCUCUUUCACAGACUUCUUUCCAUCAACACCAAGACUACCAAAACAAAAAAACAUCGUUAAUUAAAAUACAAGCAAAAUUAAAAAGCAAAGCAAGUUUUGAUUGAUUGAGUAGUUACUUUGAAGGAGGAGAGAUAGGUGUGGUGUUGGAGAGGAGGAGAAGAGCAGAAGCGACAGUGCAUUCAACAGGAGAAGGAAACGGAUGCAUUUUUGUGUUUUGAACAGAAAGAAACGAAACGAAACGUUUUUUGUGUGGGUGGCGGGCUGUUCCAGAUAUUUGAAUUUUUACUUUUCCUUUAGUUUUUGUUACUGCUAUUUUUGUGCUCCCUUUCUACCGGUUUUAUCAUGGACAGCCGGAUGCUUCUCGCGUGGGGUGGUUACUGUCAUGGGAGAGAGUGUAGAAUAACGAGACUGUUUUGAAUGCUUGCCAGGUGUCAGGUGUUACAGUGCGAGUUUUGCAUACAAAGUUUUAUUGACCUUCAUGUAAUCGGGCUGUUUGUUAAGUUUAGGUGACAGCCUGUUAGCUAAAGAAAGUUUCAGUAAAUAUUAGAUUACUAGAUAAUUCACUAGUGUUAUGUUGCUGGUUAAGUAAGAUUUUUCUUCAACGUUAGAAAAAAGUUCAAAUGUUGCUCAUACUUUUUUUUUAGCAAAAAUAUUUUUUAACUGUUUUGAGAUUUGACUUGAUAUAAUUUGGUUAUUUUUGCAGGUCUAAAAAUAAUUUAUACGACCUGUAAAAAUAUAGUUUUAUUAAAUAAUUUUAAGAUGGUAUAUUUUUUCAAUAUUAAGAUAAUAACAUAUUAAUUUGACUUCAGUUAACCCAGAUUAACAUGUCAAAUGUGUGAAUCGAGUUUUGAGACUAUAAUAACCUCAUAAAAAGUAAAUCAAAAUAAAUUAUGAAGUCUAAUUCUCAAUUAACUUAGAUGAUGAAAUUGAAAAAAAAAAAUUAAAAAGAACCUAAAAAAGUGUCCCAGGAUAACCUGCUAAACUUGCAACUUGGGUUAUAAAAUCGAAAUAACCCUAAGAAAAGCAAAUCAAAACAAAUUACAAAUUCUAAUUUCUAUUCAACCCAAUGUUGAAGGAUAUUAUUAAAAAAAUCAAUAGAAAAAAAACAUUAAAAAAAUACACGAGUCAAUCUGUCAAACUCAUGACAUGGGUCAUCAUACUGAGAUAACCUCGUAUAAAAAAAUAAAUUGAUUUAACCCAAGUUAAUGUGCUAGAUUCGUGAUUUUGGUCAUAAAACUGAGAUAACCCCACAAAGAGUAAAUCAAAAUAAAAUUAUGAAGCUCAAUUUCUAAUCUUUCUUGUCGGACUUAACAUUGAAUAAUAAAAUUUUAAAAAUAUAUAAUUAAAAAAAAGGAGUCAAGUCAACUUGAAUCAGCUUGUUAAACAUUAUUUCUCAAUCAUGAGGUCAGGAUAACCUAAUAAAAAGCAAACUCAAAUAAAUUAUGAAAUCUAAUUAUCAAUCAACACAAUAUUAAAUGACGAAAUUUGGUGGAAAAAAACCAAGUCAACUGGAUUGACCUUUCAAACUCGCAACUCAAGUCAUAAGACGGAGAUAACCCAAUAAAAAACAAAUCCAAUGUUGAAAGACACGUGACCCAGGUUAUGAGAUCAAAAUAACCUCUUAGAAAAAAAAACAAAAAAACAAUCAGAUUUAACUAACAUUAAAAUGUCAAAACUCAUAACUUUGAUUACGAGACCAAGAUAUUUCCAUAGAAAAAAAAAUUAUGAAGCUCAAUUUCUAAUCGACAUAGUGUUGAAUGAUAAAAUUGAAAAAAAAAAUAACACAAAAAACAAUUUAAGUCAACUCAUUAAGCACUAUUCUUGGAUCAUAAAGGCUAAAAUAACAUAAUAGAAAGUAAACAAAACAAAUCAUGAAAUCUAGUCCAUAAUCAAUCCAAUAUUUGGUUGACUUGAGUUUUUUCUUUUCUUUUUUUAAUUGAUUUUUUUUCUCGAAUUCAUCAUUCAACAUUAGGAUGAUUAAGAAUUAUACUUCGUGAUUUUCUUAUGUAUGUUUUUUAUGAGGUUAUCUCUAUUUCACAACUCUUGUCAAGAGUUUGGCGGGUUAACCUUAGCUGACUCGAGUUUUUUUUUGUUUUUUUAAUUGAUUUUUUUUAAUUUUAUCUUUCAAAAUUGAGUUGAUUGGAAAUUGAUAUUCACAAUUUGUUUCAAUUUACUUUUUAUUGGGUUAUCUUGGUUUCAUGACUAGGGUUGUGGAUUUGACAAUUAAUUCAGGUUGACUCGGGUCAUUUUUUUUAGUCUUUUUUUUAAUUGAUUUUUUUUCCAUCUUCAUUCUUCAACAUUGAAUUUAUCGAAAAUUAAGUUUUCAUAAUUUAUUUUGAUUUACUUUCUAUGAUGUUAUGAUCUCAUGAUUUGGUAUGUAGAUUGACAGAUUAAUCGACUUGACGUAAUAUGUUGUUGUCUCAAUAUUUAUUAAAAAGAUCUCAUCUUAAAUAUUAUUUUUACUCAAAUUAUGUUUUUACUGAUCGUCCAAAUUGCUUUUGAAAUAACUAAGAGGAUCAAGUCAUAUCGGAUCAAAUCCUACACGGUUUAAAUUUUUUUCUAUAAAAAAAAACAUUACUAAUGUCUAGAUAUUAUUUUAUAUUAAAAAAAUUAAUCUAACUUACAUUAUAACGCGGGUCAAAUGAUAUAAUAUAAAUAUACUAAAUUGCACCAUUUCUUUGGGCUACCCCGUAAUAAAAGCAAAAUAAUGAUCAUAGUCAUACUCAAAAUAAUAAAAACCAGCGCAUGCAUAUACUUCAACACUCUUUUGCUUCACUCUUCCCUUCAUCUCCAUCUCCCUCUUCAUGCCAUGCAUUAAAGAGAACAUUAAUUAACGACUAGUUUUUUUUAUCUUUCUGAAAAUUACUAGUCAACUAAAAAUUCGUCGUGAUAUAUUAAAAAUACUAUAAUUAUAAGACUCGAUCCAAGUUGGUGGUCAGUAAUCGAGUGGGCUUUUUUUAUAGCCUCUAUUAACCAAGUGGGCUUGCUGUUUCUGUUUGGUUAGGGUGCCUGUCUGUAUUCUGGUGGUUGUACUGGGCUUAUCAUGUUCUGAAGGAGAAAAAAAGCCUUAAAAUAAUAAUAAUAAUAAUAAUACAAUACUAACAAUAACGAAGAAGACAAACAAGACAAAUAAACUGUUCUUAUGGUAAAUUCCAAGGCAAAAUUGGAAACUUUCGUUUCCUGAUGUCUUACAACGUUUUUAGGGCAUUCUUCUUCUUCCUAGUGAUUAGAAUCACUUUAUUAUUAUUUUUUUUUAUAACCCGGGGUGUCCGGGCAAGCUUACAUGCACCAUUAUUAAUUCCUGGGUCCACUGAACACCCUGCAAGCCCAAUGAACAGGUAAAAUACUGCGGGGGUGACAAACAUGUAUAGAGAGGAUCGAACUCGGGUGCAGAGAAAGAAAACAAGUCUCUUUUCUAGCUAGGUCAUGAUCUCAAGUGCAAAUUACUUUAUUUCUUGAAGGUAUGUGAUAUAUUUAUAAUACCUUCAAGUUAUAAAUUAUUAAAUAUUUAUUUUUAAUUGUGUUAGAAAAUUAUAAGAUAGAAUUUUGUAACUUCACCAAAUAAAUCAUUAUUGUGGCAGUGAAUAUUGAAUGAAUAUAUUUAUCGUCGAAAAAAUGAUUUGUUAUCUGGGACCAUGCACACACAAAUUUCAAUUAUAUAUAAAAAAGCAUAGCAAAUUAUAAAUUUAUAUUAGUGAAUAUUUGAGUAAUGCAAGUCCUUUUUCAAAAUAGAAACCAUCCAUUAAUUCUAUAACUAAAACAGAAAUUUGUCUUCAAGUUGCGGGCUGGAAAGCUGAUCUUGGCUGGAAGGAGAAUUAAGCAGAAACAAGUUUGAUGAAGUUUUUCGGGGUUUUAAAGUGUAUCUGAUUUAUUUAUUUAAAAAUAUAUUAAAAUAAUAUUUUUUAAAAAAUUAAAUGAUGAUUCAAUUACUGUGCCAAACGGUCCUAAAUGUUUCAUCUGAAAGAGCUUUUACGCCUUAUACUUCUUGAUUUGUUGAUAAAAAUUAGUCGGGCUUUGAAGCUUGAUUUGAAAGAGCUUCAAGAUGUUGAUGUUUUUUUUUUCCUGGUUAUCGGAGAAAUUGAUGAAGAUCUUUAAAACUUUAAGCGUGAUCUGAAGGAGUUUCAAGGUGUUGAUGAUUUCUAAUUUGUUAAAGAAUUUCUAAACUUUGAGGAAGUUCCUGUUGAAGAGAGCUUCUUCUUCUUCUUUUUUUUUUUUUUUUUAAUUCUUCUUGAAUUGAAUUUCAUGUUUUCUUAUGACUAUUUACAACGAUGAAAAGUAAAAUUUAUGUUGAUGACAAUUUAUUCAGGGGUACUUUUUUAAAACAAAAAAUAGGAAAGUCAUUUAAAAUACCAGGUAUUAAGUGUCGUUUGUUUUUGUGUUUCAAAAAUAUUUUUAAAAAAAUUUAAAAUUUUUUUAUUUUUUUCUUUACUUCAAAUUAAUAUUUUUUAGUAUUUUUAUAUCAUUUUGAUAUGUUAAUAUCAAAAAUAAUUUUUAAAAAAUAAAAAAAAUAUUAUUUUAAUAUAUUUUUGAGUGAAAAAUAUUUUAAAAAAUAACUGCAACCACAACCCAAACAUGAUCAUAAAUCCAUGAAAUAGUAUUUGAUGAGUGUUUAAUGAGAUAAACAAAAGAUUAUAUGAUUUGCACGUGACUACUUAUCCACUAUGUUAAACUUGAAUUAAUAGAAGGAAUUGAUUGAGAACCUAUUGAUAUAUCAAGGACCUAAUCAGGAUGAAAAUUGAUAGAGGACCUAUUUGAGAUCACAACUACAAAACAGGGACUAUUUUGAGGUUUGCUCUUUCGAUAUACAACUUGAUAAACAAAAAGAAGAAGAAGAAGAAGAAGUCAUGUUUGGUGCACGAAAAUGGAUCCAGGAAUAUUAAGCAAAAAAAUAAUCCAGCUGUAUUUGACGUGUCGUGUGGAUAUGAGUCAGUGAUUACUUGUUAACUUGUUAUUGGCAAGACAAGCACGCCUUUUUGCCACGUCAGGUAAGGAUAUGCCUUGAGAGUAUCUUUUGCUAAUUUCCCUCUUUAAACCCUUAACUCUCUCUUAUUUACAUACAACAUCAUAGUGUUUUUAUUAUAUUAUGCCCUAAAAUCAAAAGUCAAAGAAAUGAAAAUUGCUUCUUUUUUUUCACCCACAUUUUCUCAAUUGAAUGACAAGAACCGACGUUAAUUGUAUUUGGGAUAGACUUGUAAAAUUUUGAUGUCUACAGACUAAUUAGUUAAAAUUAUAAUAUUUUUAAAUAACUCUAAAUUAUAGGGGAUUUGUAUUUGUACUCACUUUUUAUCUAGUCGUAUUAUAAAACUAGAAGACACUAUGAUUAGAGGCAGGGGCGGAGCAAGAAAAAAAAAUCAAGAAGGAUCAAAUUAAAAAAUUUAUUCUAAAAGGGGUUAAAAUUUUAAGGAAAAGACUGGAAAAAUUUUUUCUUGCAGAAGCCUGGGUCCCUGCCAGCCUCCCCCUGUCUCCGCCACUAAUUAGAGGGUUUGCAAGUAAAAAUAGCAAGCUCCUAGAAAUCACAGUUUAUGAAUACAUGAUUCAAGGUAAAUCACGAGUACCAAAAUUACAAAAAAAAAAACAAAACAAAACUAACCGGGCUCAUGAAUUACUUACAUCCAAACACAAUGCAAUAUAGACAGAGAUAAUGUAACUACAUCUUGCAUUUCCAGUAAAAAAAUGAUAAGCUUAAUAUACAAUAUAAAAACUAUAUAAUCUUUAAAAACAAAAUUUAUAAGAAGGUUAAAUAGAAGCAAUUAAGUAUUUUUAUUUUUUAAAACUAUAUUACUCUUAAAAGUAAAGUUUGUUAAUCUUGCAUCAAGGGUUUUUUUUUUUUCAAACUAGUUAUUACUUAUUAGUAAUUAACAAGUUGGCUCGAGUUAAUUUGAUCUUUUAACAAUCAUGAGUUUUAUUUUUUAAAAAAUAUUGUUGGCACCGCUCACACCUUUCUUGUGGCACCAUCCCUUGCUCAAAUGUUGCCUUUCAAAAUGACCUUUGAAGUGUCUUGCCAUGAGCUUUUCACUGGUGUCGUGUGUGUAUAUAGAGGAGCGGUGGUUAGACUUCGAUUAACUUUUUUUUUCUCCUUCUUCUUUUCUUUCUCAUCUCCUUACCAAAAUAUAAGGGUAUCGUUUCAUUUGUUUUUUUGUAUCCAAUUUUCUCCUCACUCUCUUGAUUGUUAUUUUUUUUAUUGAUUUUUUUUCAAUUUUUUCCCUCGUCAUUUGAUUUCAUUUGAUCUUUACAUCAAAUUUAGUCAUUAUUUUUUUUAUUACUAUUUUUUUAUUUUGGAUAUUUUUAUUGUAUUUUUUUAUUUUAAUCACUUAGUAUUUUUGUUGAUUUAGAAUUUGUUCACGUUAAUUUUUAGGGUAUGCUUUCCAUGUGGUUAGUCUUAGGCUCCUAACUUGGGUCACAAUUCUCAAAAUUUAACAUGGAUUGGCUUUGAUAUUUUUUUAAGGAUUUUUUUUAUUUUUUUUCAACAUAUGAUUUAUUAAGAAUUGAUCUUUGUAACCUUUUUGUUUUCACUUCCUUUUCUACGGGGGCUAUCCCAAUCCCGUGCCAAGGUUGCGGUGUGAAUGGGUUAACCCGGGUUUGUUAGGAUUUUUUUACUAUUUUUUUAAUUAUUUUUUUCAUUUCCCCCCUUUACAUUGGACUAUUUGAUAAUUGAGAAUAUUAUUUAAUUUGCUUUUGAUAGGCUUUGUAGUUUUUGUUUUACCUUGUCAAUUUUUUUUUAAUUUUUUUAAUUUAUAUUAUUUAAAUUAACCAAGUUUAUUAAAUCUAGUCGAGUUAAUAAUAUAAAUCCUAAAUUGUUUUUGUUUUUUUUUAAUAUUUAUAUAAAUUUAAUAUUUUUUUAUGCUAUAAAAAAAUUAGACUGGCCGACUGGCCGCAGGGUAGCAAGAGGCCUAACACUAAAUUACUAACAUCUUUUCUUUUCCGCAAAGAAAGUUGGAUAAUAGAAGCAAGAAAUCUCUUAAAAAAAUAAAAACCAUCAACCUGAUUCCCAGGUUUCCAACGAAAUCCUAUCGUACCAAAAUCAAAAGGAACAAAAAAAAAAAAAAGAGAAGAAAGCAUUUCGACACUGUUUAGGAGUGUGGCUUAAAUAAAAGUUCGUAAAAUUUAAUUUUUUUAUUUAAAUUUAAAUUUUUAGAUUAUUUUAAUAUACUAAAAUUAAUUUAAAAAAAUAAAAAAAUAUUUUAAUAUAUUUUUAAAUAAAAAAUAUUUUUUUAAAAACCGGAAGUACUUUCCGUUAACUAAUGUUUCGUUAACUAAUGUCGGGAGAAGGUUUGCAGAAUGUGCCAUCCAGACCUGGAUGCCCGAGACAAGUUGCUCUGUCAACUGCUACAGCAGCAAACACAUGGGCAUUUCAUUCUUCCAUAUUUUUUUUUAAUAAGUGGACCCCGCAUGACAGACAAGCAAAACGAUGUUUUGUUUGUUUAAAACCACCAAUCACAAAUAAGCUCUUACUUUACUGCUAGUCCUCAGCAGAUGAGCAAAACAGUGUUUUCUUCUUCUUCUCUACUCUCAAGAAUCGAUGUCAUAGUUGCGAGAUCCUUUCCAGUUUAGAAAAACGUUCGAGGACAAUUAUUUGAUAAAGAAAAACAAACUUGAGCUACCAAAUUGCUAGACGAGAUCACAAAUAAGUUUAAUCUACUUCCAUAUAUAUAUAUAUUAAAACCGAAGAAACGAGAAGGAAAACAAAUAAGAUUUGUGACCGACUUCAUUAAACAAGAAAAUAAAAGAAAUAAUUUAAUCAAUGAAGCCAAAACCAUAAAUAAUUGGAGCUGAUUGGAAAUAUUAAUCAUGAAAUGACCCAUACAAAAAAGAAAGAAAUGAUGGAAGAGAAAACAACUAAACAAGACAAGGACACCUCAACCCACUCCAACAAGAGGCAGCAGGAACGUUACAUUGCAUUUCAUUCAACUUCAAGCCUAAGCAACCCCCAACCCCUUCCAUGUCGGCAGCAACCUACUUCUUCCUUUCUUUCUUUAGCAGCUAACAAGUGGACUCCUCCCUCCUGUUUCAUUUCUAGAGAGAGAGAACGAUCGGAGACAUUAUUGUAACUUACUUUUAGAGAGAUAGACUGAAAAAAAGGACGAGAGAGAGACAGGGAAAUCGAGAAAAUGUUUUGACAGUGAGAGUCAAUGUUAGAGUGAAUAAGAAACUCUCAAAAAGAUUGAAGCUUUCAAGUUCAAUUAAGAACUCAAAAUAACACAAAAGAUUGGAACUUUGAGCUUCAAUCUCUUCAGUUUCUCACAAAAUCACUACAAAGAUUGAAGCUUUGAAGUUCAAUCUCUUCCAAAAAACCAAAAUCAAGAAGAUCCCUUUUUUUCUUUCACCAAUGUUAGUCCAAGAUCGUGUAACCACUAACCCAAAUCCCAAAUCUCCCAAAUCACAAAUCAGAGCCUCCAUCAACAGCCACCAUCACGACCUCCACCACCGCUUCUCAGAGUCAAAAUCUUUAGAUUUCUCCACAUGGGUAUCUGAGAAUUUCUGCAAAAUCGUCACAAUCACGGUGCUAGUUGCCACUGUCGCCGCCAUCCUCUUCCUCUUGAGCACUGGUGACACUGCUGCACUUAGCUACAUUCAAUCAAAAGCCCAACCUCUAGACAAAGCCCAUCAUCCUCCUCGUAUAAAUUGGAACAAUAUCCCAUCAAUCGCUGACAAAUCUUCGCCUUAUACGAAUUUCCGGUCAGAGAAAUGGAUUGUUGUUAGUGUCUCUCAUUAUCCUUCUGAUUCGCUUAAAAAGCUUGUUAGGAUUAAGGGGUGGCAAUUGCUAGCAAUUGGGAAUUCAAGGACACCAAAUGAUUGGUCCUUGAAGGGUGCAAUUUACUUGUCUUUAGAACAACAAGCAACUUUAGGGUUUCGGGUUUCAGGUUAUCUACCUUUUGAUUCUUAUUUAAGGAAGAGUGUGGGGUAUUUGUUUGCGAUCCAACAUGGGGCGAAGAAAAUUUUUGAUGCUGAUGAUCGCGGAGAGGUUAUUGAUGGUGAUUUAGGGAAGCAUUUUGAUGUGGAGUUAAUAGGGGAGGGGGCUAGGCAAGAGACUAUAUUGCAAUAUAGCCAUGAGAAUGAGAAUAGGAGUGUAGUGAAUCCUUAUGUUCAUUUUGGUCAAAGGACAGUUUGGCCGAGAGGGUUACCAUUAGAGAAUGUGGGUGAAAUUGGCCAUGAAGAGUUUUACACUGAGGUUUUUGGUGGGAAACAGUUUAUACAACAAGGGAUAUCGAAUGGAUUGCCUGAUGUUGAUUCUGUGUUUUAUCAUACCAGGAAAACUGGUUUAGAAGCCUUCGAUAUUAGGUUUGAUGAGCGUGCCCCGAAAGUGGCAUUGCCUCAAGGGGUAAUGAUGCCGGUCAAUUCAUUUAAUACGAUUUACCAUUCGUCAGCUUUUUGGGGUUUGAUGCUUCCAGUUUCAGUUAGUACUAUGGCUUCUGAUGUCUUGAGAGGCUAUUGGGGGCAAAGGCUUUUGUGGGAGAUUGGUGGGUAUGUUGUGGUUUAUCCACCGACUGUGCAUAGAUAUGAUACAGUUGGGGGGUACCCUUUUUCUGAAGAGAAGGAUCUUCAUGUUAAUGUUGGGAGGCUUAUUAAGUUCUUGGUUGCAUGGAGGUCGAGUAAGCAUGAGUUGUUUGAGAAAAUUUUAGAGUUGAGUUUUGCUAUGGCAGAGGAGGGGUUUUGGAGUGAGCAGGAUGUGAAGUUUACUGCUGCUUGGCUUCAGGACUUGCUUGCUGUAGGGUAUCAGCAGCCUAGGUUAAUGUCAUUUGAAUUGGACCGGCCUCGUCCUAAUAUAGGUCAUGGGGAUCGAAAGGAGUUUGUUCCUCGGAAGUUGCCAUCUGUGCAUCUUGGAGUGGAGGAAACGGGGACAGUGAAUUAUGAGAUUGGCAAUUUGAUUCGUUGGAGAAAGAAUUUUGGGAAUGUUGUGCUUAUUAUGUUUUGCAAUGGGCCUGUUGAACGUACUGCCCUGGAAUGGAGAUUACUUUAUGGGAGGAUAUUCAAAACUGUGAUUAUCUUAUCAUCGCAGAAGAAUGAAGAUCUUGCUAUUGAAGCAGGGCAUUUGGAUCGUAUGUACAAGUAAGUUAUCUAUAUUUAUAUAUUUUACUUGUUUUGGUAUUGUGAUUUGAAUCUAGAUUCUUAUGCUAACCAGAAUCUCGGAUAUCUGAUAUGGAUUCAUAUAUUAGUCAGAUAGCAAAUUUUAUAUAACUAUGACAAGAACUUUGUCUCUCACAGAGACUGGGGAGUUGGAGUGUUGGGAAGCUUUGACACUCUUGUAAAAUGAAAGAGAUUUGUUAUGAUUAAGAAAGUCUGAGGUUAAUUUAUGGGUAGCAAGAGAGUAUGGAGAGAGCUUUCAUGGAAUUGGCUUUUCUUAGUUCAUUUAAUUCUAUAUGUCUGUUUAUACGGGAAUAAUCACUCUUAGAUUGUGUAGAUUUUUGCCUAUGCCCUAUAGUUACAAUACUGAACUCUUGUGCAUUUGGACAUUAAAGUUGGAUUUUGGAUGGCUGUUGGAGUUGCAUAAAAUACGACAAUCAAAUUUAAUAAAUGGUGGCUGUGUUUCUUGUCAUGUUUCUAAUUCCAACUCACCAUUUUAGCAUGUCUAGGGUAAUGUUGACAUCCUGGAGAACAUUUGUGAUCCUGGUAUUCAGAUUCUUUUACUAGGAAAUGAUGGCUUGGGAAUCAUCGUAUCCUCCAACUUACCUUGUUGUUUACUGAUGCCAUAUGGAAUGAGUUUAAUCUCCAGGUUCAACAUGAUACAUAAGCUCUGAUCUUCAAGUCAGGACAGAGUACUGCACAAAAGAUUAAUCCAGAUUGUUUUUUGUGAUUUUCAUUUGAGAUGUUUUGAAAUAUAUGCAUUCUGUUGAAGGUUAGGGUAUGAUAUGUGCAUAAUACAAUAGUUUAAGCUUUGUCUAUUUUCAAAUUCUUUCGGGCAUGAGGCACUGGUGCUUGUGGAUAAACUAUUCUAGUUAAGCAAGAUCAGAGCGUGAGUUUUCUUGGAGUCUCAAACAUCCCUCUAGAACUGUCCUUUUCUCAAGGAGGCAUUUGUUUCCUUCCCUCAAAUUUGUUUUGGAGUUAUGCCAGUUUGAGUUUGUUACUGUGUCUUUUAUUGUAGUUUUCUUAAAAGCACCUCUGGUUGUUAUCUUGUCAAUAUCUUGGUUUCUUUGGCAUGCAUUCGUUAUCGAUAACCAUGGAAUUGGUGUAAAGUCAAAUUUUAACUGUUUUGCACUGUCAAGUGGAUAUCCCCUAUCUUUCAUCUUAAACUGGUGUUGCUUUGUGUACUAAUUAUCCUAUCUAAUGUUGGUUAUAGACAUCUGCCUAAGAUAUUUGAUCGAUAUAGCAGUGCCGAAGGCUUUUUAUUCCUUCAGGAUGACACCAUCCUCAAUUACUGGAAUCUGCUUCAAGCGGACAAGACUAAACUAUGGAUUACUGACAAGGUAAUUUUUUUUCAGUGCUCUGCUUUUUUGGUCAUUGUUAUCUCCUUUUCAAUACAUAAGGUUGCCUUAUUUUAUCAAUUUUGUUUUUCUCCACACAUGAGGAUUGUGCACAUUGUGUUGGUAUGCCAGAGCUUUGUUUCUUCUUUCUCACACCAUAUCAUAAAAAUCAAUAUCUUAAUGAAUAUCCAUGUCCAUAUUUGUUGUGAUGCUGCAUGCUUAUGGUGAAUAACACAUGUGGCUCCCCUUCUCUUCCUUUCUAACACACGUUGUUGCAUGUAGGUAUCCAAGUCCUGGACAACUGUGUCUACCAAUGGAAACACAGGUUGGUAUGCGAAACAAGCAGAAAUGGUAAGAAAAGUUGUUGGCUCAAUGCCGGUUCACUUCCAAGUCAAUUAUAAGGAAGCCAUGAAAAGUGACCAGAGCCUUGUAAUAGGCAGCUCUGAGAUAUUCUACAUUCCUCAGCAGCUGGUAACUGACUUUGUAGAUCUUGUUGGUUUGGUGGGUGAUCUUAACAUUCAUCAAAAGGUUGCCAUACCCAUGUUCUUUAUGUCUAUGGAUUCACCUCAGAAUUUUGAUUCAGUGCUUAGCACAAUGGUAUAUAAGCCGAAGCCACCACCUGCUAAUUCAACUUUUUAUUCUGCUCAAGCACCUGCUGUUCAUCCAUGGAAUGUGUCUAGUGAGCAAGAUUUCAUAAAGCUGACAAGAAUAAUGGCAGAAGGGGACCCGCUCCUAAUGGAGUUGUUUUGAAGGUAAAAAACAUCGUUUAAUACUCAAAAGAGCCAGAAUAGAGUAAGAAAGAUUCAAAGACACCUGUAGCGCUACUUUCUACCUGUUAUACUGAAUUCUGUUUUUUCUUUUUCCCAAUUUUUUUUGGUCAAGGGGGAGGGCUCCUUUUCUUUUUCCUUAAUUUUUUUGUAUUUUUUUCUUUUAACAUCUCUGUACAUUUACCUUGUAUCAUUCAUUUACUGAUGGGGAUUCCUCUGAUGGAAAAAUGUGUUAGAUCUUUUUCUUUGGCUGGAAAAUGUAAGAGAAGAAGAUACUUGUUUCAGUUUCUUCUCUGGCGCUGUUCGCGAAACAUUUUCAGAUUAUUCAUUGGCUCAUAUUUCAAUGUCUGCCUUCCUUGCUUUGGGGCUUUCAGGAUAUGGUUCUUGGUUGGAGUUUAUCUCUUUGUUUGGGGUUUGUUUUUUUGGUGUCUUGGCUAUUUUAUAUUAGGCCUUGGCGUUUAAUUAUGUUCAGGCAGCUGCUGGCCUUUUCUUGGCACCGUGUACUGCUCGUGUUCUCUCUCUUCAACCUCUGGGAGCCUACUUUAUCAUACUUUGGUUGGCUUAUCAAAGAAAGAAAAAGAAAAAAGAAAGAAUUGACAGUGGAGAUGCUAACAAAACCUAUGAAAGGGAUUGAAUUGCAACUGUGGAUUUUAUUAAAAAUCUCGCAUUUAAACGUGGUUGUCACAUCCAUUCAUUCAAGAGAAACAGAGAAAUAACCAAGGAAAUCAACCAUGUUAAUGGGUAUUUGCAAGUCUAGUAUCUUUCCAGCAGUUCAUUUACAGUUUACCGAUCAAUACCCUCAAUCUUGUCUUCAACUUCUGAGUACAACUGUCUCAGCUUCUCAAUGUUAUCCUGUGAAGUUUCCCAGUACCCACGACCAUUGGCCUCUAAAAAGGUCUGCAACAUCUUCCUAAAUGAAUUUGGGUUUGUGCUCAUGAGUUUGUUCAGCAUCUCCUCAUCUUGGAUGAAAGUUGAGUUAGCUUCUUCAUAGACCCAGUUGUCGACUUGGCCUGAAGUUGCACUCCAGCCAACAGUGUUUGUAAGCCGCUUCUCAAUUUCACGAACACCCUCAUAACCAGUAGACAGCAUUCCUUCAUA
rnacentral:lncRNA from 1 species